UGUGGGAUAAAAGGUGAUGCGGGCAAGGUCUGGUAUUUAUAUACGUCGUUGAUAAGGGGCAGACGCAGAUCGAUGACGUGGCGAAAAGUGCCCGUUGGAUGCGGUGGAGUGUACUGGGAGAUCGACGGCUCGAAUUGAAGCGUAAAGGAGCGGUUUGCUAGUUGAUUAGGCUGUAUACGUGGUGCGUUAUGAUUGGUAAUCAUUAAAUGGUGCGGAUCGAUGACCUCGCCUGUAUGGGCGAUCGCAAUGCUUAUUUAUAUUUGGAUAAUGUUAAUGACACGAAAUUUUUAAACUAAUGAUUUGUAAAAAAUAAAAUUUACAAUCAAAUAAUAUUUCACUAAAAAAAAAUAAAAACGUUAAUUGAUAUUUAAGUUGAUAACCUAAUCAUCAACAAUUACUGCAUUUAAUUUAUAAAAUUUGGAUUAAAAUUUUGAUCUCUCUAGUAUUAUCUUUUUUAUUUUAUCUUUCUUGACAACAGAAUUUUCAUUUUGAAAGUUAGAGCAUUUCCAAUGGUAUAGGUUAUGAGUGACGUGGUAUGUUGCUUACUUGUCUCAUUAAAAAUGAUUUAUCAGUUCAAUAGAUAAUCAAAAAUUGUACUUUCAUUACUUUCUUUUGUUUGCAUACGUAACUCAUCAAAACGAGUUUACUUAUUCCAUUGUCUAUAUCAUUCGAGAUACUCUUACAAGGAUGCUUGACAGCUUGUAGAACUACAUGAAUGAGUAUUUUCUAGAAGAGAAAUUUCAUAUUUUUUAUGGAAUAAAUUAUUUUUGUAUUAAUGUAAUGAUGUUUUAUAUAUGCAAGUGAGCUUUUAGUUUAGGAAUUAACAGUAUUCCCUUAAGAUUUAACCUUCCCUUCUAUUAUAAAUAAAGGCACAAUGAGGUGAUAUAACACACACCUCACAAACCACAUCUCUCUCUUCUCUCUCUGUGCCCCCGACCCUUCUCUCCCUAGCCGUAAAUACAGUUCAGUAAAUUAGGUCUAUAAUACAUUAUUAGCACGCUCUUGCCAAAAGCUAAGGAACUGAAGGAUCGUGGAUGAGGCUCUUCUACAAAAUCAAAGGCUCAAUUGUUUUAUGUCAAUCAGGUUCUUUUAAAAUAAAUUAAAAUAUUUCAAAUGACCUUGAAGCAUGAAAUAUUCCCCAUGACGCAUAAAUGCUCUAUAUUUAUAUUUUCCUUCCAAUUAUAUAUAUUGCAUAUGUUUUCAUAUAAUUUGUCAAUAUAUAUACUUGUUCAUGCAAUAUGAAAUUAUGCUAUGUGGAAUUUGUGAGUCAAAGCAUCGCAAUUAAUUUAGAAGCAAUUAUGAUUUUUAACCCCGGAAAUCGAAAAAAUAAAUUUUUUUUUUUUUAUGGAUUUCUCGCGGCUCCACGUUGCACUACUGAGCUAAGCCAACUGGUCUGCAGCCACAUCAUUACUCGGACGACGUCGUUUCGACAUCAUAGACCGCUCGUAGUAGCCCCGUGGGCUUGUUGCCAAUGCACCAACAACCAGGCCUCGGCCUGGGUUGGAUUCCUCACGGGCCUAAAGCCCUAAGUCCACCAGCAAGCUUGCAAGCCUUGUUGGGCUUUGUCCUUGCCUCGGCCCAUCAUGCCAGCAAGCUUAUGCUUGCUAGACUUUGCCCGCAUAUGAUUCGGCCCGCAUGCAGUAAGCUUUGCUUGCUGGGGUCGUCUUUUUCCCUGGCCCGCGACCAUAAAAGCCAGCCCUUGUGGAUGGGCUUGCCUAGAACCUGGCCAAAUCAAAGCAAGCCCUUGGUUGGGCCUUGCGCGCAUACCCCAGACCAGCCUACGUGCUGGGCUUAUUCCUUCGGUCCAUUUUUUUGCCUAAAACCAACAGCUUAUGCUGCUAGGCUUCAUCCUAGAAACAGCCCAUGGCCUGCAGCUAAGAUUUGGGCUCCUUUGCAGCCUUUCCCCGUGGCUCAAAUAGGCCUGCAACUCUUGCAGAGCAAAACCCCAUACACUGCAGCCAGCCACCAUGCUGGCUGUGAUUUUUUCGAACCCAAUGCUAUGUUUUUGGCAUCCCCACUUCAUAACUAUACUCCUAUAAUUUUUAAGACAUUUGGUUAACACUUAUCAAGCGAUAAUUUUAUUGUCGCUUGGCUCGAAGCCAAAAUUCAAGCUACUAUUAACCCGAAUGUUAUUAUUUUGCUCAUACGAUGGUUACAAUCUAUUAAAUUAAUUAAAAUGACCAACAGUCCAUUAAUCUGACAAGACAUCCAAAAUUAUUGGCUUGAAGCCUACUUUUUGGCAAUUAACGAUUCAAUAAAUUAUUUCUUCUUUGAACCGUUGACUAUCUUUCGUAGUCUCGAUGCACUCACACUUGGGUUCCUAAAGCAAUUCCCCAAAUUCAUUACACUUAGUUGUAUAUUGUAUUCUUUGUUCUUGCAGGUACCCCUAUACAUGAACUAGAAGUUCAUAAUUAUCAAACUUGUGGUUUCAAAUUUAGCGCAUUUGAAAUCGAAAGUUUUCAUUCAAAACUUACAGCAUGAAACUCGUAGCUUUCAUGUUUUAAAUUAAACCUAUACAUGUCUAUAAAACCCGAAUGUUCUACGAUGUAUGCCUAUGACAUUCCAUACGACUAACCAUGUUUUGUUGUACCUUAUGUUUUAGGGACAUGUUGAACUUGAAUAAGCUCGAUUUCACCGCUUUGGAAGUAUCUGGAAGAAAUUACCUAAAGUGAGUUCAAGACAUGAAGCUCCAUCUUACCGCAAAAAGUCUUCGUGUCACGCCCCGAUCCCGAGAUACGCUCGGAAUCAACAAGCGACGAUAGGACAGUAUCGGUACAAUAUAAAAUACAUAGAGUCACUAAGACUCAUACAUAUAAUAUACAUCAAAGCUCAGCGGAAAAAAAAUACUUAUAACAAAGGGAGGUAAUACUUACUCUCGAGUGCGCUGUCCACACAGCAACACCACAUGCAAUCUUCUCCUCCAACCGCUACCAGUUACUCUGCAAAAUAACCAUACGCCGUGGAAAUGGCGCACUAGGCAAAGAAAAAUCUGGAUAAGCUACGAAGCUUGUGUAAGUGACAAUAAUACAACAUAUGUGAAAAUAAAUAUCAUCAAAUGAUUAAUGAAAAGUAGUGCUACGUCCACACAUGACUUUUCUCUAAAUAUCGUGUCAAUCCAAUCACCAUCAAUAUUAUUCCGUUAUUUUCUUCGAAUUGUGACUCACCACUCACCUUUCAUCAAUUCCGAGUAAUCACAAGGGUCCAGUCUCCACAUAUAUUAUAAUUUAACCACCAUACACCUCAUUAAUACUUAUAGGAAUGGUUAUUCAAUUUUGAAUCUCACCACACAUCUAUCGUGAUAACAUUCAGUCAUCACACAACCCAAAGUUAUGUAAGAAUAACGCACCAUCAAUAAUUCAACCAUGUGUAGGAAUGAGAUUGGUAUCUUUUUCAUCAUUGCAUCUCUUCGUUAUGAGUAAGAAUGAUUCACAUCCGGAUCCGAUCUCUUUUAGGCAACACUAUCAUGUAAACUAUUUGAUUUAAUUGUCACUUUCUAGAUUGAGCUACACAUGCCUUCUUAUCUUUCAUAUAUGUAAUAAACAAUAGUCUAGGGCUAUAGAGAGACACAGUUCGGUCAAAGCCUAUAAUAGGCAACUGAUCAAGAUGUGGUUCCCCAUUACGGAUUAACCAAGCAUACCAACUGUGUAGGUAAAGACCUCCCAUUGCGGAUUAACCAAGCAAAGUCACUCAUAACGGAUUAACCAAUCAUGAUCACUCAUAACGGAUUAACCAAGCAUGAUCACUUUUAAAAUGCAUGAUCACUCAUAACGGAUUAACCAAGCAUGAUCACUUUUAAAAUGUAUGGCUAUACCUAAAUAAUAGGGAUCGCCCAUCGCGAAUUAACCAAGCAUGAUCCCAAAGUAGUAUGGUCCCCCGUUGCGGAUUAACCAAGCAUGACCAUCCAUGUACCACUGCUACAUGGUGCAGAUUCUGAUUUUAUCCCACAUCACCUUAUGUAUUGGGUUAACGGUUAUAUACUAGCCCUCACAUAUCACAAUCAUAUCAAGCAUAUCAUAAAUAUAUAUUUUCGAUAACAUCAUCAAGUAAACAUAGCAUAGUAACACACAUUUCUAUAAAAUCAUUUGUAAAUCCAUGUUAUAUCCACAUAGUAUAUAACAAGGAAUUUCAUGGGUAAUAACCAUAUCAUAUAAUAUGGAGUUCUUCACACUUCCAGAUUCACCAACACCUCAAAGGAACCUAAUACAACAUGCAAAUCUCACUUAGGAAACUUAGUAAGACUGAGACACAAACCGAGGCCAAGUGUCACUUGCACGUAAAUUGAGAGCACGUCAACAAAGAAUGACACGUCAUCGUGGUAAGCCAACUAAGCUCCAUCAAGCCUCAACAACAUUCUAAAAAUAACGACACAUUAGAACGGUCAAACUAGGUCUCACUAAGGUCAACAAACUAAGGUUAUUCAAUCCAAAGAUCCGCACAUCAGAUUUAUGAUAUGUAGGUUCUCAAAGGUCCAACAACUAGUAACUAGGAUGCUCACAAAAUUGCACGACAAUCCAAUGAUCGGAUUGUCGUCAAUCAUACAAACGAGUAGGGGUCCAAUUUGAUCACCACACCAACCAAUUGAAUUUCGAAAAGCCGAGUUAGACACAGGUUCACAAGGUCGCAAAAAGGUCUUUGGUAGUUAGCUAACACUUGUGGACAGGCCCACGCACCACCACACGCGAUGGUAGCCAAGGUGGAGGGUUUAGAAAACUUGAGUUUUCAAUCUUAACCAAAAGGGCUCAAAUUUACGAGGUAGAUAGAACUCAAGAAGGGAAACACUUUUCACAACUAAGCAAACGACAAAUUCAAGCCGUAAACCGUCCAAUUUCAUUGGGGAAAACAAGAUUUCUAGGUUUCUAAACACCCAACACUAAAACAACUACAAAAGCACGAACCAAGCAUACCAACUUGAAGAUUAUGAAGAGUAAAUGAAGUUUCAUACCUCACUUGAAGGAAAUGGUCGCCGAAAUCACCGGAAAAAUGACAAAAUCACCGAAAAACUCACGGGACUUUGUUGCCUCAAAAUGGAAAAAUGGAUAAGAAAAUGGGAAAUCUAACACUACAAAGAUGUAGGAUUCGUCAAAAGCUAUCCAUGGACACCAAGAUCACCCAAAACGAAGCUUGGACGGAAGAGAAACGAGCAGGUCAAGUUGGCAGGUCGGCGACCGGAUCACACCCAAAAUGGAUCUACAAUUGGACGCCCUAUUUUUGGAAACCUUCUGGAACUUUUUGGGAGUUGCCCCUCCAUUUAUAGCAUUUUGGCCAAAUUACCAAAAUACCCUCCAACUUCAAAUGUCUCUAACUUCUUCAUUCUAACUCAAAAUUGAGAUCCAUUUGUGCCUACACACUCAUGGAAUCAAGCUUUACCUAAACAACUUAAGAUUUGACAGAAAAGGUUGAGAUUCAAAAUGACAAAAACACCCUUCACUUCAUUUUUCUCGAAAUUGGAGAAUUAACGAACUAGCUUCAAUUAAAUCUUCGAAAAUACGUUUAAAAGAAUUAAAUACUAAUUUUGGGGACGGGAUAUCACACUUCAAGGUACUAUCGAGAAACCUACCGACGACCCAGUUGACGAAGUUCAGAAAGCUAUUACUAUGAUUUCAUCCGAAGACACAUCUAUGAUGUUGCAAGUCGAGUACCUCGCAAAGGAUGAUCCACGUACCUCGCAGUCGAUCACCAAAAAGACAUUUACUUGCCUGAAGCAAGACACAACUAGUAGCAUUUAUGUUUCCAAGACUUUAAGUUUGUGAAUGAAUACAACUAUGAAGUUUGUAGAAUCCGCUCAUUGCUUAAGUUCUAUAAAGAUGACUUAACCGAAUAGAAUCUCCUGGAGAAGACAUAUUCGACCUUGAAUGCCACCAACAUUGUCAUGUAGCAAUAAUAUAGGGCACAUAAGUUCACCAAAUUUUCAGAUUUGAUCUUUGUUUUACUUCUCGUUGAAAAGCAGAACCAUAUUUUGAUGAAGAAUCAUCAAGCUCGACUUACUGGCUCGAACGCUCAUUCUGAAGCGCAUGCGACUAAUUCUAGCAACCACAACCAAUGGAAACCCCGUCGUGGUCGUGGAAAUAGGCAGUAGGCCUAACCAAUGGAGGAAAUUUGACCCAGAAGCGCCAACCCCUUGCCCUUAAGACCCCAAACUUCAAGAACAAGGGAAAAGCUACUGUUCAAUUGCCUUCCACUGAAUUGGACAUGUGUUACCGCUGUGGAUCAAAAGAUCAUUGGUCACGCAUAUACCGAGCUACCCCCGAGGCCAUUGCUAAGUAUCAUUCUCGUCAUGAGUCUAACUUUGCAUAUGUGGUACAUCCCGACGAUACUACCACAACUAUAGAGGUUUUAGAUUUUCAAGAGGCAUUCGCUCCUGUGGAAGAAUAAACUUUUAUUUUUCUAGACAUGUUAGGGUGUUUUUCACCCCUAGGGGGUGAACCCCCUAUUUUUCUCGGUUUCUGGUUUAAUUUUUGGGACAAUUUUUCUAAGUCUUUGGAAUAAUUUGUUUGGUUUUGGUUUAUUUUGAAUUAUGGAUAAUUAUUUUUAUGGAUAUCAUUUUCUCGAUUGAUUAAUUGAAUGAAUGGGAUUAUAAUUAUCCAUGUGAUCGAUUCAAUUAAUUUAUUUCUAGGUAUGACUAGUGGAGAAGUUAGUUGCCUGGCUGAUAGUUCUACCACGCACAUUAUCUUGUGUGAGCAACACUAUUUUACUAACUUCAUACCUAAAAAUGCAUCUCUAACAACUUUCUCAGGCUCAUCCAACCUAAUAGAAGGAAACAACAAGGCCCGUAUAAUGUUGUGGUACUGAAUUAACCAUUAAAGAAGCCAUUUAUUCUCCCCAUUCCGGAAGAACAUUGCUGCAGGUAGGUAUAGGGUACGGGACAAGGCUCUACAACAUGGGGCUCCUGGUUUUGGGCUAACGAUGCAUUGGACAAGUCCAAGAAGAGCUACAUGCCUUCUUGGUUUGGGCUGGAGCUGCAGGCCUGUGAAAACCCUACUAGGCCGAGGGCUUGGGGUGUCUUGCGUGUGCAGCAAAGCCCAAAGGGCUGCUGCCUUGUGGUCCAGACAUCAAACGACGUCAUCCUGGUGGGGUGCUCCACAUGGUUGGGCUAUAGGCCAGCGAUGGUGCGGCAUGAACCGCGGCUUGUGCAGCAAAAAAAUCCCAAUUUUUAAUUUUUUUUAUUUUUCUAGGGUUUGAAGAACCCUAAUUGCUUCUAAUUUAUUUCGAUGUUUGACUCACAAAUUUCACAUAGCAAAAUAAAUAAUUGUGUAAUGCAUGAAACAUACACACACACACACACACACACACACAUAUAUAUAUAUAUAUAUAUAUAUAUUGACAAAUAUAUGAAACAUAUACAAUAUAUAUUGGAAGCUAAAUAUAAAUGUAGGGGUUCAUGCAUCAUGGGGAAUGUUUUCAUGCUUCGUGGUCAUUUCAAAUAUCUUACUUUAUUUUAAGCGCACCUGAUUGGCAAAAAACAAAUAAAAGCCUUUGAAUUUUGUAGAAAAAAGCCUCCUCCACGAUCCUUCAGUUCUUUAGCUUCUGGUAAGAGCGUGCUGAUAACGUGUUGUAGUCCUAAUUUACUGAAAUAUUCUAAGGUAAUAAAAAGGAGGAUGCCGACGACAAGAAAGAGAAGAGAGAGAUUUAAUUGUGAGGUGUGUUGUAUUUCACCCCAUUGUGCAUUUAUUUAUAAUAGUGGGGAGGUUAAUUCAUUACCCUAAUAGGAUUACAACUCUAAAUAAUAAUAUCUAACCCUAGAGAAUAUUCUUAGAUAUCCCAAAUAUACUAGGAUUUUCAUAAUCGCAUUCCUAUAUUAAAUAUGACUGAAACAAAAUGAUAUUUCCCCACAUGCUACUAUUUCUUAACUAACCUCUAAUAUAUAUCUGCAAUUAUAAACUUGGCUCUUAGAAAAAUCGAACACCGAUCUUGAAUUGAAGACAAAUAGGAGAUCUUCGUGUGCUGUCUUUCAAAUUCAUAUAGGGGUUCAAGGAAUUGGAAUUGUUGGUUUUUGAAGUACUACUUUUUUUGGAGAAUGGAUUUGGGUGUCCUUCCUUCUUGAUUCAAAUUGCAAAGAUCAUUUUUUUGAUUUUUUUUAAAUUCCCGUUCCCGUUAUAGAGAAUUGGUUCAAUUAAUUUGGAUUUUUUUUCUUCUCAAUUUCUAGACAGCAGCUCUUCGCUCCUCACUCAACUUGCCUUCUUUGGGUUUCUUAUUCGAUGAACUGAUUGUCAAAACCCAAGUAAAUUAAAUCGAAUUACAAACCACAACAUGAAUCUUUUUUUUUUUUAAUUUUAUAAGAAAAUAAAUCAGGGACGUGGCACGUAACUGCCAAAUUAAAAUGAGAUAAAAUGUAUGGAAAGAAAACAUUUCUCUCCCCUGUGAGAGUCUUUCUCACUGUUGUGUAAGUGGUUUUUUGCUCUCUUUGAUUUUCGUCGUCGCCGGCCCUAACUUUGGUUAGGGUCGGUGCCAGUCCUUUGUUUUUCAUGUGUUCUUUGUUUUUGUGGUUUGUGGGGUUUCAAUUUUUUCUUGCUUUUUCUGUUGCAUGUAUGUUUUCCUCUCCUUCUCUGCCACUUUCACGAUUUGUUACUAUCCUUUCUCCUUUUGCUUUUGAUCUCACCUUUUUGAGACCAAACCUCCAAUCCCCUGUUUCCUCCAUCCUCUUUGACCAUUUCCCCCUCUUUGACCCACCCCUCCAUCUACUGCAUCAUCUUGGCCCGCCAUACAUCCCCCCCUUUCACCUUUACCUCUGUCCUUAAUUUUGGUUGGUUCUCGUCUCCGUUUACCGCAAUCUGUCGCAGAUCUUUGGGAGGGUGUGUAGAGCUUUAGCUCGGGUGUUCGCACCACCACCCUUGUUGACCAUUGUUGGUCCUUCCCGUAGUUUGCCCUUGUUGGCGUUGUUGCUCGUGGGUUCUUCCUGCCUGCUUCUUUGUUCUCCUGGCGACGGUUCUUGCUAGUACUUUAAGGAAGUUAUUGCUUUUGUAUUCAUCAUUUCUAGGGUUUUGGUGGUGUGAUCUUAAGUGAUCGUGAUUGGAGGUUGAUCGUGACGUUUGUUGGGUGGCUCUCCGGUGUUGGUUUCGGCGUCUCCAGCUUCUGGAAGACUGGAUAUUUAGGUCUUUUUUGUGUUGUUUGUUUGUGUGUGCUGUACUCUAAGGUUGGGCUUGGGGCUUUGCCUUUUGCUUGUGUGUGGCCCAUUUUUGUUUGUGUAUAACUUGUUUUGGCCUUUGUUGUACUUGUGUUUGUUGGUAAUGAAUUUACCCUUUGUCCCAAAAAAAAAAUGUAUGGAAAGAGAUCCUAUCCGGACUCCUUUCCACCUAAUCCACCUAGUCCAGGAUCCGGACCAUUGAAAUUUGAUCAAACGGCUACAAACAGGGCCCCCCUUUAAAGUGAUAAUAAUUGUAGUCAUUAGAUCAAAUUCCAAAGAUCUGGAUCCUGGACUAGGUGGAUUUGGUGGAAAGGCAUCCGGGGAGGAUCUCUUUCCAAAAUGAAUCUAACCCAACCAAUACCACUCCUCCAUUGUAAGAGAGGGAGCGAUUAAUAUCUCGGUUAAUGCUGGGGAGACCAAAAUUUUAAACCAAAUUUACAAACCAAAUUAUGUGUCACCAAUAGUAAAUAGACACGUUAAUCAACGUUUAAGUAAUAAUCUAAUCACCAACAUCCAUAUCAUUUGAUUAAUAAAAUUUAGUUUAGAAAUUUGAUUUCCCUAAUAUUACAGAAAUAAAAUAAGAAAAUACAAAUAAAACACAGUGAUAAUAAUGUAGGGAAAAAAAGAAACUUAAAAUUCGUUUUAUUGAAAAAGAGAAGAAGAAAAAAAGUAAAUAAAAAAGAGAACGUGUUGAACCCCUCAAAAGAAAUUAGAACGUGAAAACUGAAAAACUGCAACACAUAAAGCAAUUUCUUCAAAUUGAACUACCAAUAUCCUUCCAUAAAUAUUUUCAUUGCUUCUGUAAGUUUUAAAUUUCUAAUUUCUUUUAUGAUCGACUUUUAGCUUUUUAGUUAGAGUUUUGACUUGCAGACGACCAUAUUGUUGUAGAGCAGUUGAGGGAUGGGAUUUUCAUUAAGAGCAACUCCACCCUUGGAGCCCUUCCUCCAGGCAAUCCACUAUUCAAUCCACCCUGGGAACAGUAACUGUCAUAAUGAACAGUAACUACCUUUUGCAUAUCCACCCUUGCACUUGAAUAGCCCUGACAAUAGGCAAUAAAAUAUUUAUUAUUUUUUUUUUUACAAAAUAAUACUAAAUAAUUUUUUUUGUAAUUUCGGAUAAGAUAUUUUAAAUCGUUUUCGUUGCGCCAUGUGUCAUUUACCCAAAACAUAAUUAUAAUUAAAGUAGGUAACAAAUAAAUAAUACAAACAAAUAAUUACAAUGUAAAUUUGGGUAUAGUACAAACAAAUAAAUAAUAUAUUGUUACCUGAUCCGUGUAAUUUUCCCCACUUCGAAGAUUACUACUAGCUUGUACCAAGGCGUCUCUCCAAAUAGUAAACGAUUGGCUAAGUAAUUUCCAACGACUAGACAUCGAUUCUUUGGUUCUACUCCCACCCAUUUUCUCAAGAUAAUUGGUAUGAAUAAGACUCCACAUUUCUCGCAACUGCAUCUCAUUACCCGUAAGCGAACUAUGAGUAACUUCAACACAGCUAGUACACAACGCAACAUCUUCAAGAAGCGACCAAUUCGUACCUGCAGCAGUAGUCAUUUUGUUGAAAAAAAUUGGAUUGAAACUUUGAGAGAAAGAUAGGAAUUUGAUUGAAAGUAGUUGAGAAAAUAUGAAAUUGUGGUGUAAGGUAGAUGAUAAUGAGAAAGUAUUUAUAGAAAAGUAGAAACAUUUUUUUUUAAUUUUCAAAUAUUUUUUUUCGGAUUUUUUACAAUUUUUUAAAUUCUUUUAUUCAAAUAAUUAAUCUCUGGUGUUGGAUUUAAAAAAAAUUGAAAUCCAACACUUCAGAUUGUGCCACAUGUCACAACGGUAACUUUUCUUAAUUUUAAAACUAUUUUUUCUUUUUUUUUUAAUUUAUAAAGCAGAUUAACAUCAAUCGUUGAUCUCAAAUCGAACGGUUGAUAUUAAAUCAGUUUAUUUUUUUAUUACCGUUGGAAAUCGGACGGCUCGUAUUAAAGAGCCGUUGGGAUCGAACGCACCGUGGGAUGCCACGUGGCUUCCCAACGGUCACCUGCAUUUCCUAGCGUGCGGGCCCUGUGCCCUGUAAACUUGUCGGCUGACGCGCCCCCACUUGUGAGUGAGGGGCACGCGCCUGACAACAACAACAACAACAAAGCCUUUUCCCACUAAGUGGGGUCGGCUAUUGAUGACACAAAAAAAAUUAAAAAAUCAUACCCAACUCAGGCUGCAGGCCUGUCAACUCUCCACGGGCCUGGCCCUCGGGCUCCCACAUUCACUCGGGCUGUCCAAGGCUAGAGGCCUAUCCACCGGCCCUCUGGCCCUUUCCCUUCGCUUGUCCCCCGAGCAACCACUAAGGAUGGAGUUGCUCUAAAGGGAAGUAGUGUCUUAAGACUUUUUACUUCAUCUGGUACGCUUUUUUAUUUAUUCAUUAAGCAAUUAGGCAAAAGCAAUCCUUGGUCUGCCACGAGAUGCUGAAUUUUGAUUUAAAAUUUACGCUAUCCAUGUUUGAAAUGUGACUCUGUUGCCUCACUUCAUUUUAUGGUUUAGUUCAUAACCAACAAAUUCAUUACUUUAGAACUCGUUUGGAUGUACUUUUAAAAUGACUGAAAGUGCUUUUAAAGAAAAUGUUUUUUGGUUUCAAAAGCACUUAAAUGCUUUCUGUAAAAGCACAAGUUAUGUGCUUAUUUAAGGAAGCACUUUAAGUGCUUUUCCAUAAUUUACUUGUAUUUUUACUAAGAAUUGGUUCCAAAAAUAUUUUCACCAAAAGUGAUUUCAAUCAUUUUAAAAGCAUAUCCAAAUGAGCUUUUAAUUUCCUUUCCAAUUAAAGGAAGCACUUGCAAGCUUCCACCACCAACAGGAUCCUCUCUGGAUCCUUUUGGUGAGGAUGAUGGGGAUCCGUAAAUCGUGUAUGUUCAUCGUACAUCGUACGGUCAAUUUUUGUCAAGUACUUUUUAUAUUUAUUUUUAAAUAAAAAUAUUUAAAAUGAUUUCUGACUGCACGAUGUACGAUGAACGAAUACGAUUCACGAAUUCUCGAGAUUCUCACAAAGAGAAUCUGACGAGGCAAGAACCACUAGGCCACUUGUAGUGGUUUCUUUUUGCGCUUGUGCGCAGUGCACUGUGAUGUAAAAAAGUUUCUACCAAACAAGCGCAAAAAGAAACCACUGCAAGUGGCCUAGUGGUUCUUGCCUAGUUAGGUUUGCUCCCCAGCCUAGGUUCGAACCCCAGCCUAGGUUCGAACCCUGAAGCUUUCAAAGUGGCUAGGCAUUAUGCUGCAAUGCAUAGUUGGAGCAUUUCACAUGCGAAUGAGGGAUUCGUCCUUGGGCCUAGGACGACUUUGGGAUACCCUUGACUUAGUUAAAAAAAAAAAAAAACGCAAGAAGAAAAACAACUAUUAAAUGACCUUGAAGGCAAUUUAAGUGGAGGAUUAAACAGAUAACAACGGACAUUGUAAUUUUUAUUUCAGCUUUUUUUUUGGUAAUCCGCACGUAACUUUUGCAAUUAUAUGAGUGUUUGCAGAAAGAGAUGGGAGGUUGGUAGUUGUGGGUGGGGCCAAGUUAAUUAAUGAAUAUGAAGGAAGAGUUAAUAAGAGAUGGGCGUUUGCUGCCUUAGUCUCUAAGUUGUUUGUUGCCUUCCCCUGGUGGAUUAGGCUUUCCCUUUUGUUUGAUGGUGCCUUGAAUUUUCUUCUUUGCCCAGCUUUCUGAUGUUGUUCUCUUUGGGCUUUUGCCCUUUUAAUAAUGGUGUUUGCAGAAAGAAAUAGGAGGUUGGUGGUUGUGGGUGGGGUCAGGUUAAUUAAUGAAUAUGAAGGAAGAGUUAAUAAAAGAAAACUCAUCGUAUACCACAAUCAUCAUUUAAUUAACUAAUUUUUCUUAAUUAUUAAUUUAUUAAAUAAUGAACUAAAUUUAAAAAUCUGAUUAAUUCAAAUGAUGUGACUAUCCACAUCAAAUAUCACCUAAGAUGGCAUAGAAAUAUGGUAUAAAAACAUGGUAUGAAUAGCAUUACUCUUCAUAUGUGGGAAAAAGAAAAAAAAAGGUUAAACUCCAUUAAUUUCUCAACCUGUUCAUCUUCUUUCUUGGUAGAUUGCAGAUUCGCCCAACUCCUAAACAUACAAAAUCCUUUUUCUUUGCUGGGUUCAAGCCCUUGUUGGUGUUGCGCAUGGUGGACAACUUGACCGAGGAUUUGACAGAGAGCAGGCGACCAAGAUGAAGGUUGUGAAGGGAAAGGCGAUCUGGUGCUGUCGAUUUUAGGCUGGUGAGGAGAGUGGGGAAGUUGAUGGACGACAAGAUCUUGUCGUUGAUUAGGCGAUGAAGGCUCAGAAGAUGGCGAUGUUGGAGGCUCUGAACCUUCACCCACUCCUCAAGCUUCUGCAACCCACAACUUCUACAACCCACAAACUCCAACCUAUGAAAGCUGCAAUUUUCAGCAGCCACAAAGUCCCGGGCUUUACGACCCGCUGCAUUUGUAGAAUCCUGGGAUUCACGACCCACUGCAUUUUCUACAACCCACAAAAUCAUAAGUUUUAUCUCAGAAAGAAAAAAAAAACAUAAAGAGAUGAUGGAAAAGGGAAGAGUGGGAUGGGGUGUAACAAAAGAUGAUGGGAGGAAUCUAGGUUCUUUAUUUAAUUAAUUUGAAUUAUAUUCUAAAAAUAAAUAAUAAGUGUCAUAAGUCAUCUUAGGUGUCAUAUGUUAAUAGGUGGUACUCCAGCUCAGCAACUAUGCCCGUCAUCUGGAAAAAUUUCUCGGUUGGUUGUUGUGGGUGGGGAGAAAUUUUUAGUUGUAACGGAAACACAAGUGGUACACUACGUGUUUUAAUAGGAAUGGUAGGAAAUUUUAUUUUUUAAGUUAUUAACUUUUUAGCACACAUAUUCCAUCAUUUGUUUAAUGACACGUGAUGUAUCACCCCAUGUACCGGUCACAUUGAAAAAUCUCUCGUGCGUGGGGCCAGUUCAGUGGGUUGUGGAUGGGUCCAAGUUAAUGAAUAAAUUUUUGGUUUCUUUCAUUAUUAAAAGAAAAUAAAUUACUACAAGAAAAUAUUUGUAUAGUAAAAGUUUAGUACCUAUGCACAAACUUGAAUGCAGAAACUUGCAAGUUGCCACAUAAAAGAGAUGUAAAAAUUAUAAAAAUUCCAGUUUUUUUUUGGGUAAAUUACAUUUUCAUACCUCAGGUUUGGGGUCUAUUUCAAUUCCUUACAACAUCUUCCAAACAUUUCACUUUCAUACCUUAAGUACUAUUUUAUUUCAAAAUAAUACAUCCGUUACAUUUUCCAUCCAUGGAUUUGUUAAAUGAUGACGUGGCUGCCAAAUGUCUGCCACGUGGCAAAUAAAAUAAUUUUUUUUUAAACCUGAAUUUUUUUUUUCUUCUUCUUCUUAUUCUUUUGGGUUGUAGGGAGUUCCCUUUUUUUCUUCUUCUUCUUCUUCUUCUUCUUCUAGGUUGCAGGGGGUUCCUUUUUUUUUUCUUCUUCUUCUUCUUCCUCCUCCUUCUUCUUCUUCCUCUGGGUUGUAGGGGGUUCGAGUCCCCUUGCAGGUUUUUGGGUUCUUCAGGGAUGUGGGUCGUUGGGGGGAAGAAGCCAGAGGAGGAGAAGAACAAGAAGAACAAGAAAAAGAAAAGAAAAAAAAGGAACGCCCUACAACCCAGAAGAAGAAGAAGAAGAAGAAGAAGAAGAAGAAGAAGGAGGAGGAGGAGGAGGAGGAGGAGGAAGAAGAAGAAAAAAAAGGACUGAACCCUCUGCAACCCAGAAGAAGAAGGAGGAAGAAUGAGGAAAAAGAAGAAAAAAAAAAAAGGAACCGAACCCCCUGCAACCUAGAAGAAGAAGGAGGAAGAAGAAGAAGAGAAGAAGAAUGAGGAGGAGAAGGAGGAAGAAGAAGAAGAAGAAAAAAAAAAAGGAGCACCCUGCAACCCAGAAGAAGAAGAAUGAGGAUGAGGAGGAGGAUGAGGAAGAAGAAGAAGAAGGAAAAACAAAAACAAAAGGGACCAAACCCCCUGCAACCCAGAAGAAGGAGGAAGAAGAAAAAAAAAACAAAACAAAAAGGACCGAACCCCCUGCAAUCCAGAAGAAGAAGAAGAAGGAAAAAGAAGAAGAAGAGAAGAAGGAGGAGGAGAAGGAGGAGGAAGAAGAAGAAGAAGAAGAAAAAUAUUCAGGUUUUUUUUUUUUUUUUAAAAAUUAUUUUAUUUGCCACGUGGCUAACAUUUGGCAGCCACGUGGCAUAUAUGUGGCAGCGACAUCAGCAUUUAACAGAUCAAUGGAUGAAAAUGUAACGGAUGUAUUAUUUUGAAAUAAAAUAGUACUUAAGGUAUGAAAGUGAAAUGUUUUGAAGAUGUUGUAAGGAAUUGAAAUAGGCCCCAAACCUGAAGUACGAAAAUGUAAUUUACCCUUUUUUUUUUUUUUAAGAAAUUGUUAUUCUAAUUUUUUGCAAAGAUGAUUUUUAGACUUAAAUUAUGAAUAAGAUCAAAAUCUAAUUUUAGUCCCUUGAUACAUUAAUCACCUCAUUUAUUAAUUAUAGCUUGAUGUUUUAAUUAUUUCUCUAUUUCUUUCUAAUUUUAAUGUAUUAAUUAUAUUUCAUUAUAAUUUUCAUUUUCAUUUCAUUCAUCGUAAUAUAUUUUGUUGUAAUAACUAAACUAAUUUUUGUUAUACAAUAUAUUUUGAUAUACUUUGUUUUCUUAUUUAGAUACAUUAAAUUCAUUAUAAUACAUUUCGGUGCAUCCAUUUAGGUAUACACAUUUCAGUACAAACAUGUAGAUAAAUUAAUUCAAUGUAAUACAUUUUGGUACAAACAUUUUUGUGCAUACAUUUUGGUACACACAUUUAGGUACAUUAACUCACAAUGUAGCUUUUCGGUACUAACAUGUCGGUACAUACAUUUCAGUACGAACAUUUAGGUACAUUAACUAAGUCUUUCAAGUUUAAAAAAUGUUAAAUAAAAGUAAUAAAUUUAAAAAAAAAAACUUUUUUUUGGUCAAAAAAUAAAAUUAAAUGUGUAAUCUAACACCAAAUUUUUAUUAAAUUUCAAUCUUCUUCAAGGAUUAAAAUUAAAAUUUAAAAUUUAAAAAAAAAAACCUUUUUUUUUCCUUAAAAAUUCUAGAUGAAAAUCAUAAUUUGUUUAACAGCACUAUUUUUCGUGUCCGAGUAUUAACAGCCACCGAUAAUAUACUUUGAUGCAUGCAAAGUUAGAAAGGCACUGGUUUUUUUGGUGUGUAAAGACUAAAGAAAGGUGUCCUAUAGCUACGCUGGAAUUCUUUUAGUGUUUGCCCUUACCAUUCUAUGAGUUUCUUUGUAUGACAUCGCUAGUGACGUAGUCAUAAUUUUUAAAUAAUAGGAUCAUAAUAUCAACAAAAAAACUUCAUAAGACUGCAAAGGCUUUUCAAUUCAAAUAUUUCAUACAAGAAGAGAGAAAAAAAAGACAAAUAUGAUAGAAGAAAAUAAAAGAAGUAUGAAGAGGAGAUUGUAAUUUUGUUUGCCUUAAUUACUAAUAGGGGUCAAAUACACUAUACAAACAAAUAUACAAGGAGUUUUUGAAGUUAUUGGGAUCAAGAACAACUAAUGAUCUAAUGCUGACUCUGCCACUAGACAUCGCCACUCCCGGCCCCUCCCCACCCCAUCCCUCUCCUUGCACCCCACACUCAUCCCCCUCCUUGCACCCCACACUCAUCCCCCUCCACCCGGGUCUCUCCCACCCCAUACGAACUUACGUAACAUGGUUUACGUAUGCUUGGUCAGUUUUCUAGUAAGUUAAUAUUGAAUAGACAUAAAGUUCAUUUUGCAUUAUUGUUGACCCUAAAAACUACCAAGCUUACGUGGCAUGCAGGCCGAGUAACUAAUGAGCUAACUACGUCCUUCGAUUAUGUGCGGGGCGUGCCAACUCGUCGGCCGGGGAUUAAAAUGUGUUGAUGUCGCGUUGGGCGUGCUGUUGACUUCUUGAUCUUGUGACUGCGACUAAGGAAGGAACACGUCUCGGCCUUCGGGUUCUAGAGCCUGAAGACAAGAUUGCUAGUUCUACGAAGUUCAAUAUCAAAUUCGGCUUUCAAUGUGCCAAAUGUAGUAACUUGUAACACCUCACUUCGCCGAGAAGGCUAAUGAGAUCAGUGGCGAAGCCAUGAUUUCUUGAGGGGAUGGGCGAACUCAAAAGAGUGCAAGGUUAAAGAAAAAUUGCAGCAACUAAAUCUUUUUAUAUAGUAAUGUCUUCCGUAAUUAAUCAAUACAAACAAAUUACAAUUGUUGCUGGCGAGGUUUCAUAUCAUGAAAACGUCGCAUAAUAGGCUCAUUAUCAAUAAAAGCAAAUACAUCUUUCUCAAUGUAAACAACCAUGCUAUCACUCAACCAUUGAUCUCUCAUUUUGUUACGCAAUAGUGUUUUCACAAUCUUCAUAGCAGAAAAAGCUCUCUCUACCGAAGUGGUUGCAACUAGUAACACCAAAGCCAAUGUAAGAAGCUUAUACACUAACAUAUAGCUUUCACACAUUCCGGUCUUCACUAACUCUUUAUCAAAAUCACAAUUGAAUAGAUAGCAAUAACGGCAAAAUGCGACAUCUUUUACUAUACUAUACUCCAACCACUUAAAAUUAUCAAACCAACGGGUGACAAAACAUCGAUUGUUGCUAACUUUUUUAGACAUAAUGUGAUCUUUAGGUUGACAAGGAUUAUUUUGGAGAUAGUGUCGACGAAUUGCUUCACAAUAAUUAGGAAUCAAGCAUUCGACGUCUAUGGUCCAGGGUCUAUAGGAAGAUUAGUUAGUAUUUCAUCCAACUCAGUGACCUCACUUUGUUGGGAACUACUCGGAAUACUCGAAGAAUGAAUAUUUGGAAUAUUCGAAGAAGGACUACUUAGAAUAUUCUAAGAAGGACUGGCCGGAAUAUUUGAAGGAGGAUUUAAGUAUUGUUUCUUAUAGUAUCGUUCCAUUGUUUAACUGUAUAUGGAAAAGAAAAAAAAAGUCUUAGACUCUUAAUUCUAGAGUAAGCUAUACUAUAGUUAAUAUGAGUACUAACUAAUUAAACCAACAAUUCAAUUAAUCAAUACAAAUAUUCAUAUAAAUUAUUUAAUACACAAAAAUUCAAGUAAUAAAUUAAUAUCAAUAAUCAACAAUUCAAUUUUUAUUCUAGACUAUAAUUUCAUUCAUCAAUAAUCAUUCAUAGGAUUCAUAUUUAUAUGCAAAAAUCAAUAAUCAAUAACUAUAUUAGUGUAUUACUCUAUGAUUCUAUAUUAAUUAACUAAAAUUUUGUAUUAAUUAAUCAAUUAGGGUUAGGGAUAAUAUAAAUUAGAAAGUUAAAAAAUCUACCUAAAAUUGAGAGAGAAGUGGAAAACCAACCCAACAGGUUGGCUACUAUGUUGGAGGUUGGUAGCUGACUAUGCUUGAAGGAGAAAUAAGGGACAACGGAAUGAGAUGGAGGGAGGAGGGCGUUGAAAGCCUGAAACGUGAAAGCUGCUGGGAUUUUAGGGGGGGGGGCAAAGGUCUUCUGAUUGGUUAAAAGGGGAUUGGUUUUCAAAAAGUGAAGGUCUGCUUUGAAAAAUGUAAGGCACGAGGACAAUGGUCCUCUUCAAAUAUUUUUUUUUUUUAACCAAUUAACGAAACGGCGUCGUUUGUUUAAGGAGUUUUUUUUUUCAAUACUAAAUGAAACGAUGCCGUUUCAUUUAAGGGUUUUAAAAAAAAAUUACAUAAGCUGCUGUUGUGCAGCAGCAGAAAUCAAUCUGCAGACUACAGUGCAUCCAUUCAUUCCGACGAGACCAGAAGGGCAGAACCAUGGGCUUAAUUUCCGACGAUGGGAGGGGCGACCGCCCCUCACAGUCCCUCUGUAGCUUCACCACUGAAUGAAAUGACCUCUGCCAAUAAGGAUUCGAAAAUCUUUCUCGACCGAGACUUGGAUAGAUAACCAGUUGGCCUCGACGCAGUACUGUUUAUCCAAACUGAAGGUGCUCCACCGUCGACUGAUUCUACGGCAACAGUGUUGUUUAUCCAAACUGAAGAUGUCACUGGUUGUGUUCACAGUGCUGUUUAUCCAAACUAAAGAUGUGCCGGCGAAAAGAAAAUAAAAAUCUCAAGGUUGUUGAGAGGUUUCGCAUAGAGCGAGAGUUUGCGUAGGGCAGUUUGUGUCUUGAGUUCGAGAGGUUUUACGAUGCACAAUGCCUCUAUAUUUAUAAUGCUGCUCUCGUUGAUGGCCAAGCCGUAAAUCUCUAAGUCUCCUGAUGUGUCACGGCUACUAGAAAAUAAUCUCUUAGUCUUUUGAUGUAUCACGACUACCAAAUUGAAGCAAUCCCUGAGUCUUCUUACGCCAUAAAUCUUUAAUAUUUAAAUACACCACAUCUGACCAAACACGUCUACUCCUUAUCCCAUCAUCAUGUGAUCAAUGGUCAAGAAAUUACCAUGUCACUAUCUUCUGUUAAUUUGCUUUUCCAUCAUGUCCAUAGGUUAAAGCCUAAACACAUCACAUCACCAUCUUUCACCUUUAUCCCAUGCAUGGAUUAAUUGCAUGAAAUUAAUCCAAUAUUAGCUGCAUUGCCAGAUACAAAAUAUCCCAUCAUCAUUCAAAUUGGGAUUUAGAUAAAUAUCAUGUUUAAAUAAUUUAAUAUAUUACUAAGAGAUAAUAUCAUGAUUAAAAUCACAAUAUCAUUUCUUAAUAAUAAUUAAAAACCAUUUCAACCACUUUAUUUUUCAACAGUCUAAAAUCCUGCUCAUUCAACGACCUUGAUUGCGGGGGCUGAUAGCGUAAAUUUGAUUGCUCCCUAGUUUCAUUGAGCUUCGGCUCUUAAGCCGAAUGGUUAAGGAAAUUAAGCAUUUAUGUGUGGCUCUCAACCGUUAGACAUGUUACUCAGCUACCGACUCCAUUCAAGAGAAAAAGAAAGCAAAACUGAGAAACAUGGCUUUGUUAAAAACAAGGUCAUAAAAGAAAUCACAUCGUGGCCUAUUAAAUGAUGUUGUCGGCCAUGACUAAGAAAUUCCAAACAAAUGCCAAUCUUUGCAUGCCAUACUUUUUGGCCGAGAUUUCAAUUCGACAGGAUUUGUCCUAUUGUAAACAUUGCCUCCGAAUUAUACUAUGGUCGAGCUCGACCAACAAUCCUCGGUCAUUAAGAUCAAGUCCUUUCUGAUCCAACCAAAUCCUUCUUGGCCCUCAGCCUAAGCACUAUGUCCUCUAACACGAGCUCAUGCUACAAAUGCCAUGACCGCUUAGCAAAAUCUCUGCUAGUCGAGAAAAACAUAUGGUCGAGAAAAACUACCAGGAAGAACGUUGGAUGCACACGUCUAAGGGCAUGCAACAUUGGCAACCAAACCCACUUGUCCUGAUCACUGCCAAGGUCUGCAUGGCAUUGGUCAAAUGGAGAAAGUGUACUUAUACAUAACAUUUCAUUCGGCCAACUCCAAAACCAAUCUCGCCGCAAAGGCCUACCACCUAGCACGGGUGACCUUCUGCGAACAUCUUUUCUCAGCCCGGCUAAAGAACAACUUUCCAAGCCAAGCAUACUAUCUUUUGGAUUGCUGCACCAUCUUGUUGCCCCCCUUAUUUUCUUAUGUAUCGGCCUAAAAGGCCGAAUGGUUAAGAAAAUAAUUUAUUCAUGCCUAGAUCUUUAUUCCUUGCCGAGAUCUUUCAAUACUAAUAUUGCUAAUCAGGUUUUGCACUAAGCCGAAUAAAAAAUGACCUCCAAAUAUUUUUGACUUGGUCAAAUAUUUUUCAUCGGCCGCCGAAUGUGUUGAACAAUUAUUAUGCUCCCCAUGCAUAAUUACUUCAUUAAUUUCGGCUUUUAACUCAAAUAACUUAGCCAAACAGGAUUUCUUCAUAUUGGUUGUAUCACCAAUAAUCAUAUCAAGUGGUGUAGUUUCUGCGUCUAAGACCAUGUCUCCAACUACCACAUCAAUUGAAGUGGUUUUAUGGUUUGAAGCCGUGUAUCGGUCUUGUUCGUCAUUGGAACACUCCUCUGACAAGUCAUUUUCUGAGUCGAAUUUUGGCUCAAAAACUUGAAUUCUUUCUUCUAGGCUUACUACCACACUUUUAGUCUCGACCGAGACAACAGGUGGCCUAGGUGUUUCUUCGGCCAAAUGAACAAUUUUUUUAGGCCAAAGUCUGAUUGUGGCCGAGGUGGAAAAUUGCCCCUCAGCCUUUAGACUUAACCAUUUUUCAAAUGGAAUUGAUCUAUAGUAAAAAACAUAAGGAAAACGUUCUUCAUUUAGCCAGGCUUUAAAUCAAGCCUUGUCUUCGUUUACCCAUUGCUCUUGUAGGGUAACAUGAGCUUUUAUUCUCAACAUGUGGGCGAAUGAUUUUUGCCAUGCAUGGAUUAAUUGCAUCCUAAUCACAUCACUAUCCUAAUCACAUCACUAUCUUUCACAUUUAUCCCAUGCAUGGAUUAAUUGCAUGAAAUUAAUCCAGUAUUAGCUGCACUGCCAGAUACAAAAUAUCCCAUCAUCAUUCAAAUUGGGAUUUAGAUAAAUAUCAGGUUUAAAUAAUUUCAUAUAUUACUAUGAGAUAAUAUCAUGAUUAAAAUCACAAUAUCAUUUCUUAAUAAUAAUUAAAAACCAUUUCAACCACUUUAUUUUUCAACGGUCUAAAAUCAUGCUCAUUCAACGACCUUGAUUGCGGGGGCUGAUAGCAUAAAUUUGAGUCUAAACAAUUAUCCAACUAAGCAUAUGCGCAUGCUCACAACUAUAAAAGUAAAGGAGGUCAUUGAUAUGUUGAUCAGCAAAGAUUCAAAGCACACAGAAAAUAUAUAGAUCCGAUUUAACAUAAGUGAGAGACAAUGUCGAAUAAAGAAGCAAAAAAUGAAAGGACAGAUCCUGUAAAGGAUGACAAGAAAUCUGAAAAGGCUGGCGCUAACGCUGGCGCUGGCGAUGGUGGCGGCGGCGGUGGUGGCGGUGGUGGAGGUGGCGGUGGCGGUGGAGGUGCCGAUGGAUAUACCGGUGCCGGUGGAUAUGCCGGUGAAGGUGGAUAUGGCGGUGCAGGUGCAGGUACCGGUACCAGUGCCGGCGCCAGUGCCGGUGCCCGUGCCGGUGGACAUCCUGCUCGAAAUGACAGUGCCAACAAAUAAGCCAGCUGAGGGAUUCAACGACGUUGGCAACUACUACUGAAUAGGCCCUUAAGAGCCGAUCCUAAAUAAGAGGGAUUUAACCUCGUUGCAUGCAUGAUCGUAAUUAAACAUAUUGCCUAAAAUAAGAGUUGAUCCAAAAUCCAAGGUUUAUAGCAAGACCUCUAAAUUUGUGUAAUAUCGUUACUAUAAUAAAUUAAGAGUGCUAUUAUUUUCACUCCAAUGUCUUAUCUCUAUACUUACUUCUUAGUUAAAAUUUUAAUUACAAGUUUGUCUAUUUAUAAAAUGAUUGAUAAAGACUUUAAAGAUAAUAUACAUAGUUCUUUAAGAGGAGAGAUCCCAUUUGAGCCAUAGAUCAGACCUCGCAAUGAACUCGUUAUUCGCUAAUACGAAAAUCAAAUGCCAGGAGAAAGAGGAAGAAACUUGCUAGCUCUUUCCUCCCCUCUGGCAGCUGUGGUUUUGCUUGACAUGAUUUAUAUUUGUGGAUAAAGCAGAGCUUCUUUUGAAGUAUAUGGUCGUGGUGAUGCCCUUCCCAAUCACGUACUAUGAGUACUGUAGGAGGGGCAAUUUGCUAGAAGCUAUCAAGCUGUGGGAUGUUAUGCUAGUUAGGGGUCUGAAACCUGAUAUUUUAGCAUACAGCUUUUUAUACAUGGUUGUUGUGUGACUGGAGAACUAACUGUUGGAAAAUUAGUUAUUAGUUUAUGCACCUAGUCUGCAUACCGCACCACCAUCUGCUCGCACCCAUAUCCGUUAUACCAUCACUGCAAUCUGACCUGUUGUUGAACGAAUCCGUAAACGACGCUGCACCACCUGCAUCGCUCCGCUCUGGUCUGCAGCUCCCCGGCCGCACUGGAUUUGGUGAAACCACUUACACUGACUCUGCUUCUACACCUUUGAACGCUGCAACCUGCAGGAGCAUCCCACAAAUCUGUAUGGCUGCAAAGGAAAAAAGAGGAAAAAGGAGAAUGGAAUAAAAAGAAUGAAAAAAGGGGAGUAAAAAAAGGAAGAAACAAGAAAAAGAAAAAGAAAAAAUUGGUUGAUUGUUUGAGGCUUAGGCCCACAGGCAAGAAAGAAAUAUGAUUUGUUUGGUUUGUCUAUCGUUCUCACCGCGACGAUCGCUCGAGUGCUUGGACUGGUGAUCACUCAAGUGAAGUUAUGAAAGUUAGAUUUUUUGUUUUUGUUCAAGUUUGUUCGGAAGUUGGAAUUUGCAUUGGCAUUGGCAUCGGUAUUCGGCAUCGGCAUCGGCAUCGGCAUCGGUAUUGGCAUUAGCAUCGGCAUUGAUAUUGACAUUGGCACUGACAUUGGCAUUGGAAUUGGCAUUGGCUCUAGCACUAGAAUUUGGAGUCUUGCAUUCGCAUCUACUUGUUGGCAAACUCAUGAUGUGUACCGCCAUGAGUUUGACAGGGGGUGUUGGAAAAUUAGUUAUUAGUUUAUUUUUGUUUAUGGUUUUCUUGUGGGACAAGGAUAUUAGAAUUUUCUAUAUCCUUUAAGGGUUAGGAUUUAGGGUUUAUUAGAGUUUUCUAUAUCCUUUAAGGAUUAGGAUUUUGCUUUAGUUUUCACUAUAUAUAAUAGAGCUUGUAAUUUAGUUUGAGAAUAAGUUAGUCGCAAUGUAGUCUUUUAGGGUUUUGUAGCCGUUUUUGCAUUCUCAGUUUGUUUAAUAAUAUUCUUAUUAUUUUGUUAAUCUUGUUCGUUGCGCUCUGAUAUUCAACUCUAACCAAGGCUUUCGAGUUGCGUGAUGACAUGAUGAGUAGAGGAUUGAAGCCAAAUCGAGUUACAUAUAAAACACUCAUCCGUGGGACUUGCCUGACAAGUUAGGUUCUGUCCAUCAGCUGCAACUUAUGCAGGAAGAGUCGUUCUUUUGUUGUAUACGGAUUACGGAACCAGGCAUGCUUUCAAUACAUCGCGGAGCCAUGAUGAUUGAUGGUUCAACAUUCACAUUUUGUUUUUAGAUUAGAUACACACACAUCUAACUUGACAACAUGACCAGUUAUUCGUUUUAUGUACACUUUUUCCACCCUAUAUGCUGAUUUAUUAAGAAGGGAUGGUGGGAAUCCUUUAACUGAUUGUGUUCAGCAACGCGAACUAAGCCUGUGGGGAUGUAGGUUAUUGUUGUCAUGUUUUACAUACAUUUAAUCUCUAACAAGAUUUACCUGGAUUUUUGUUCUGGAUCCCUUCCACCUAAGACAUUGAGCACGGCCCUUGAAAUUUGAUUCAACAACUAAAAACAGGAGGUCCCAUUAAAAGUUAUAAUAACUUUAGCCGUUAAAUCAAAUUUCAAGUGUCCGGAUUUUUUGCUCAGUUGGCUUAGGUGGAAGGGAUCCGGAGAAGAUCCAUUUCCUUUAGUUGCAUCUCUUUGAUUUGGCCACACUCCAUGUUUGUGUCACGUAUAUGAUCUCCGUGUUGGAUAAAUAUCAACAAUCAAUGAUAAAUUUAUAUAUGCUAAUAAAUAAUAAAUGCGAAUAGAUAAAUUAACAGAGUAUGAACAAAACAAAAAUAUUAAAUAGACAACUUGAAGAUCGAGGCUUGCGUACCACAAUGUCCUUGAAACAGAAAUUUCGUCCCUACUCAGUGCUUGUAGUUCUACGGACGUCGACUUCACCAUGAUUCAACGAUCUAAGUCAGAAUUCCAGCACCGAAAAACUUGACUUCUAGCGAAUUUCUUUGUGGUUCUCUCAGUAAGGAUGUUUGGGAUUGUAGAAGAAGAAUUUGAUUUUUCUGUGUUUAAAAUGUCAUGUAGAUGGAUGUAUUUAUUGUAAGUUUAUACAAGUUCGCAACAGGUAUGAGAUUGGGUGCGUCUUUUGGAAGACAUCUUUCCCAAAUUCGUGCUUUGCUCUGCGUUCUUUCAUCACUUCAGACUUUAUCUGAAAAGAUGAGUCUGGUAAUAAAAAAAAUAAAAUUAAUUAAAGAAUUUAACUUUUAGAGCCCCAAGGCUCAAGGCUCAUCUUUCGAUUAUAUAUAUUAAUUAGUACACUCCAAAGCCCAACUCUAAAGUUGAGCCCAAUUUCAUUCUCCAUGGUCCAUCAUUUCAAUCACUAUCUAUAAGGAAUAAAGCCUUCUAAUGUGAGGGAACCUUUUGGUAGUGACCAAUAUGGGACAAUAAAAUUUCUACUCAAAAUUUUCAACACUCCGAUAUGCCAGAUGCUGCUUUUUCUAGAAAUUUGGUUGGUUAGCUAGUUAAGAGAAGGUGAACUGAGCCUCUAAGUUGCACUUGCACAUAUUUUUCCUUAUGUCCUGCAACUUUAUAAUAUUUUUUUUCCGGUACAACGGCGGAGAGCCUAACAACUACCCGGGAAUGGCCCUGGACUUUGCCAAACGAACAAUACUUGGUUACUAAAAGAUGAGUGUGAACUCCUACUCAAAAUUCUUAGUGUUUGAAUCACGGAGCUUUGUGUUUAUGAUUAGAAUCGUUCAUACUAUGAAUCACAUUGUAAAGAUUAUCUCCGCAAAAAUUAAAUUAAAACUAAAGCCGUUUAGUCAAUCUAUUGGAGUAAAUAUAUAGACAGUUCAUAAUACUUUUACCACUACCGUUCAUUUGUUUUUAAAUAGUUUGAUGACUAAACGACCUUAGUUUUAAUUGAUUGUUUGCAAAUGCGAUAUUUAUAUGGUGAUUUAUAAUAUGAACAGUUCUGAUUAUAAAUACAAAGUUCUAUAAAUUGACAACAAACUAUUUUGAAAAUUUUUGAGUAGGAGUUCCUACUCAUCUUUAACAAAGUAUUAUUCUUGCCAAACUCAAGGUAUCAGAAGCCACCAGCGAGUUUAUAAUCUAAUCGACAAUAUAUGAGCUCAACAUGCAGGUGGAUCUCUCAAUAAACAGUGAAGGAGUUACACAAUGCGCUCAUGCAACACUAGGUUUUUGGAAAAAAAAACGGGCGGCUAUCCGCUCAGAGAGCAAAAAAUUUCAGUUGUGACGGAAAUACGGAUGUACACCACGUGUUUUUAUGCAAGGGGAGGAAAAUUUUAAUUUUUAAGUUAUUAACCUUUUAACACACAUAACCUACCAUUUAUAUUGAGACACGUAGUGUACUACUUUGUGUGACGGGAACACUGAAAAAUCUCUCCUCAGAGAGAGUCAUACCUAUUAAUCCAGUGUCUGAAUAGCUAGAACCAAAAUGGUGUAAUACAGGCACACAAAAAAACGAAAAACAAACUCAUUUCCGAACCAAAACUAACAGCAUAACAGCUCUUUUUCUACAUGGUUAAAAAGAGUAAGACGCGUUUGAGGUUUAACAGUACAAACCCAGUUUUUCUUCCUUCAGGAGAUGACACGACUUAGCUUCUAGAUGUAACCAUAAGGACAUACACUGCAUAAGUUCCUUCACCUCGUCUAAAACCGAGAUCGCAGGACUCGUUCAAAAUGAAGAGAGACUGAAAGGUAAAUUCAAACCGAGAAUUAUAAUCUAGUCAAAGUUCACAACCCCACAAACUAUGAACAUAUCACAUAAAAGUAAAGCAGAGCAUGAGAAAAACGGACAUAACAAGACCAAGCUUCUUAGUUUGCACGACUUUUGAUAACAUCGAGACCUAUCUCAGUCGGAUCAGUAGCCUGCAGCUCGACUUGUAUGCCGUCCAAUUCUCUCUUGAACCUGUCCUUGGAGCUUGCAUAAAGAACAUAAGCAAAAAUGACGAGAAAAAGAGAGACGCGUUUUUAGGUUAGAAAAGUACCAUCCGACGAAGAAAAUCCUGCUUUUCUGACAGUUCUCUACAGUCACAAAGUCAAAAUCAUAGACAGCAUAUCUGCAUUCAUUAUCAGGAAGGUUUGCAGUAAAGUCUUCAUAGCUUUCAGCUGGCUCACCGAGCUUCUCCACAAUCACCUCAUUUUUCUUCUCGUCAAUCUUGAACACUAUGAAGCGAUAUGUUCUCUUAGCCUUCAAUUCCAGGAACUUCAGCUUGCAGUCAUCAUUCACAGCAAAUCCGGACGCUGCAUCAGCCUGAUCAUAUGAUGAAACAGAAGAUAGAUGUUAUUCUUAUGCAACUUAUUUCCACAAACCCAACACACACUGGUUUUGAAACAAUAAACAUGUAUUCACUCUCCUACUCAGCCAAAAAAAUUAAGCUCAGAAAUUCUCAAGAAAACAAUUAAUCUACAAUGUUGUGCCAAAGUUAUCAAACAACGGAAUCAGAUAUUAAAAUGCCACGGUGCCUCUCCUUGAAUGUAAGGGCCCGUUUAAUAACCAAUUUUAAUUCUAUAGAUAGAGAAGUAUGCGGGAGAAAGGAGGAGCAAGGGUGAACAAGGGAUGGUGGAACAAAUGUGAAGGGAUGUGUAUGUAAUGGCACACAAUGGAAACUGAAAACAAUUUUGAAGUUGUUUUCGCUUUCUAGUUUUGUUUUCAUAUAAUCUCCUUCAUUUCUCCCCCUCCCAUCACCCCUCCCACCACCUCCCUUCAUCCUUUACAUUCCUCAUUUCUCCCGUAUACUCUCCCUCUACUUUAGCACAAAAAAUGAAGGCCUGCUGAUUGGUUAAAAGGGAUACCAUUCAUCAAAUUCAAUGCAGAUUUGCUUGUUGAAGUUGCUUGUUGCGUGUUGGUAAAUUUUGUGUUGCGAUACCAUUCAUCAAAUUCAAUGCAGAGUUGGUUUUCUUAGGGCACUACCCUUGUGACUACUGACGAGGUGGUAACGGCGGUGGCGGCAGCUGCAUUUUGCCUUUGCGGGAUAGAGAUUAGAAUUUUUAUUUUUGUUGUUUUAUCUUUUGUUGAAUGGGUUUUUGUCUACCCCAAUUUUUAAACAAGGGUCUUCUGAUUGGUUAAAAAGGGAUUGGUUUUCAAAAAGUGAAGGUCUGCUUUGAAAAAUGGAAGGCACGGGGACAGUGGUCCCCUUUAAAUUUUUCUAUUUUUUUUAACCAAUUAAUGAAACAGCGUCGUUUGUUUGAGGAGGUUUUUUUUUUUUUUUUUUCAAUACUAAAUGAAACGAUGCUGUUUCAUUUAAGGGAUUUAAAAAAAAAAAAAAAGUACAUAAGCUGCUACUGUGCAGCAGCAGAAACCGAUCUGUAGACUACAGUGCAACCAUUCAUUCCAACAAGACCAGAGGGGCGGAACCACAUUCAUGGGCUUAAUUUCCGAUGAUGGGAGGGGCGGCCGCCCCUCACAGUCCCUCUGUAGCUUCGCCACUGAAUGAGAUGACCUCUGUCAAUAAGAAUUCGAAAAUCCUUCUCGACCAGACUUGGAUAGAUAACCAGUUGGUCUCGACGCAGUACUGUUUAUCCAAACUGAAGGUGCUCCGCCGUCGACUGAUUCUACGGCAAUAGUGCUGUUUAUCCAAACUAAAGAUGUCACUGGUUGCCUUCACAGUGUUGUUUAUCCAAACUAAAGUUGUGUCGGCGAAAAUAAAAUAAAAAUCUCAAGGUUGUUGAGAGGUUUCGCAUAGAGCGAGAGUUUGCGUAGGGCAGAGUGUUGAGUUCGAGAGGUUUUACGAUGCACAGUGCCCCUGUAUUUAUAAUGCUGCUCUCACUGAUGGCCAAGCCAUAAAUCUCUGAGUCUCCUGAUGUGUCACGGCUACUAGAAAAUAAUCUCUUAGUCUUUUGAUGUAUCACGACUACCAAAUUGAAGCAAUCCCUCAGUCUCCUUACGAAUCUUUAAUAUUUAAAUACACCACAUCUGACCAAACACGUCUACUCCUUAUCCCAUCAUCAUGUGAUUAAUGGUCAAGAAAUUACCAUGUCACUAUCUUCUGUUAAUUUGCUUUUCCAUCAUGUCCAUAGGCUAAAGCCUAAACACAUCACAUCACCAUCUUUCACCUUUAACCCAUGCAUGGAUUAAUUGCAUGAAAUUAAUCCAGUAUUAGCUGCAUUGCCAGAUACAUAAUAUCCCAUCAUCAUUCAAAUUGGGAUUUAGAUAAAUAUCAGGUUUAAAUAAUUUAAUAUAUUACUAAGAGAUAAUAUCAUGAUUAAAAUCACAAUAUCAUUUCUUAAUAAUAAUUAAAAACCAUUUCAACCACUUUAUCUUUCAACGGUCUAAAAUCCUGCUCAUUCAACGGUCUUGAUUGUGGGGGCUGAUAGCGUAAAUUUGAGUCUAAACAUUGCUCCCUAGUUUCCUUGAGCUUCGGCUCUUAAGCCGAAUGGUUAAGGAAAUGAAUCAUUUAUGCAUGGCUCUCAACCGUUAGACAUGUUACUCGGCUACCGACUCCAUUCAAGAGAAAAAGAAAGUAAAACUGAGAAACAUGGCUUUGUUAAAACCAAGGUCAUAAAAGAAAUCACAUCGUGGCCUAUUAAAUGAUGUUGUCGGCCAUGACUAAGAAAUUCCAAACAAAUGCCAAUCUUUGCAUGCCAUACUUUUUGGCCGAGAUUUCAAUUCGACAGAUUUGUCCUAUUGUAAACAUUGCCUCCGAAUUAUACUAUGGUCGAGCUCAACCAACAAUCCUCGAUCGUUAAGAUCAAGUCAUUUAUGAUCCAACCAAAUCCUUCUUGGCCCUCGGCCUAAGCACUAUGUCCUCUAACACGAGCUCAUGCUACAAAUGCCAUGACUGCGUAGCAAAAUCUCUGCUAGUCGAGAAAAACAUAUGGUCGAGAAAAACUACCAGGAAGAACGUUGCAUGCACGCGUAUAAGGGCCUACAACAUUGGCAACCAAACCUACUUGUCCUGAUCACUGUCAAGGUCUACAUGGCAUUGGUCAAAUGGAGAAAGUGUACUUAUGUGUAACAUUUCAUUCGGCCAACUCCAAAACCAAUCGUCGCGAAGGCCUACCACCUAGCACGGGUGACCUUCUGCGAACAUCUUUUCUUGGCCAGGCUAAAGAACAACUUUCCAAGCUGAGCACACCAUCUUUUGGAUUGUCGCACCAUCUUGUUGCUCCCCUUAUGUUCUUAUGCAUCGGCCUAAAAGGCCAAAUGGUUAAGAAAAUAAUUUAUUCAUGCCUAGAUCUUUAUUCCUUGCCGAGAUCUUUCAAUACUAAUAUUGCUAAUCAGGUUUUGCACUAAGUCGAAUAAAAAAUGACCUCCAAAUAUUUUUGACCUUGUGAAAUAUUUUUCAUCAGCUGCCGAAUGUGUUGAACAAUUAUUAUGCCCCCCAUGCAUAAUUACUUCAUUAAUUUCGGCUUUUAACUCAAAUAACUUAGCCAAACGGGAUUUCUCCAUAUUGGCUGUAUCACCAAUAAUCAUAUCAAGUGGUGUAGUUUAUGCGUUUACGACCAUGUCUCCAACUACCAUAUCAAUUGAUGUGGUUUUAUGGUUUGAAGCCGUGUAUUGGUCUUGUUCGUCAUUGGAACACUCCUCUGACAAGUCAUUUUCUGAGUCGAAUUUUGACUCAGAAACUUGAACUCUUUCUUCUAGGCUUACUACCACACUUUCAGUCUCGACCGAGACAACAGGUGGCCUAGGUGUUUCUUCGGCCAAAUGAACAAUUUUUUUAGGCCAAAGUCUGAUUGUGGCCGAAGCGGAAAAUUGCUCCUCAGCCUUUAGACUUAAUCAUUUUUCAAAUGGAAUUGAUCUGUAGUAAAAAAAAUGUAAGGAAAACGUUCUUCAUCUAGCCAGGCAUUAAAUCGAGCCCUGUCUUCGUUUACCCAUUGCUCUUGUAGGGUAACAGGAGCUUUUAUUCUCAACAUGUUGGCAAAUGAUUUUUGCCAUGCAUGGAUUAAUUGCAUCCUAAUCACAUCACCAUCCUAAUCACAUCACCAUCUUUCACAUUUAUCCCAUGCAUGGAUUAAUUGCAUGAAAUUAAUCCAGUAUUAGCUGCAUUGCUAGAUACAAAAUAUCCCAUCAUCAUUCAAAUUGGGAUUUAGAUAAAUAUCAGGUAUAAAUAAUUUAAUAUAUUACUAAGAGAUAAUAUCAUGAUUAAAAUCACAAUAUCAUUUCUUAAUAAUAAUUAAAAACCAUUUGUACCACUUUAUUUUUCAACGGUCUAAAAUCAUGCUCAUUCAACGGCCUUGAUUGCGGGGGCUAAUAGCAUAAAUCUGAGUCUAAACAAUUAUCCAACUAAGCAUAUGCGCAUGCUCACAACUAUAAAAAGAAAGGAGGUCAUUGAUAUGUUGAUCAGCAAAGAUUCAAAGCACACAGAAAAUAUAUAGAUCCGAUUUAACAUAAGUGAGAGACAAUGUCGAAUAAAGAAGCGAAAAAUGAGAGGACAGAUCCUGUAAAGGAUGACAAGAAACCUGCAAAGGAUGACAAGAAACCUGUAAAGGAUGACAAGAAACCUGAAAAGGCUGGCGCUAGCGAUGGCACUGGCGGUGGUGGUGGCGGUGGUGGCGGUGGUGGUGGAGGUGGCGGUGGCGGUGGAGGUAGCAGUGCAGGUGCCGAUGGAUAUACCGGUGCUGGUGGAUAUGCCGGUGCCGGUGGAUAUGGCGGUGCAGGUGCCGGUGCCAGUGCCGGUGCCAGUACCGGUGCUCGUGCCAGUGGACAUCCUGCUCGAAAUGACAGUGCCAACAAAUAAAUAAGCCAGCUGAGGGAUUCAACGACGUUGGCAACUACUACUGAAUAGGCCCUUAAGAGCCGAUCCUAAAUAAGAGGGAUUUAACCUCGUUGCAUGCAUGAUUGUAAUUAAACAUAUUGCCUAAAAUAAGAGCCCAUCCAAAAUCCGAGGUUUAUAGCAAGACCUCUAAAUUUGUGUGUAAUAUCGUUACUAUAAUAAAUUGCUGUUAUUUUCACUCCAAUAUCUUAUCUCUAUACUUACUUAGUUAAAAUUUUAAUUACAAGUUUGUCUAUUUAUAAAAUGAUUGAUAAAGACUUUAAAGAUAAUAUACAUGGUUCUUUAAGAGGAGAGAUCCCAUUUUAGCCAUAUAUCAGACCUCGCAAUGAACUCGUUAUUCGCUAAUACGAAAAUCAAAUGCCAGGAGAAAGAGGAAGAAACUUGCUAGCUCUUUCCUCCCCUCUGGCAGCUGUGGUUUUGCUUGACAUGAUUUAUAUUUGUGGAUAAAGCAGAGCUUCUUUUGAAGUAUAUGGUCGUGGUGAUGCCCUUCCCAAUCACGUACUAUGAGUACUGUAGGAGGGGCAAUUUGCUAGAAGCUAUCAAGCUGUGGGAUGUUAUGCUAGUUAGGGGUCUGAAACCUGAUAUUUUAGCAUACAGCUUUUUAUAUAUGGUUGUUGUGUGACUGGAGAACUAACCAAGGCUUUCGAGUUGCGUGAUGACAUGAUGAGUAGAGGAUUGAAGCCAAAUCGAGUUACAUAUAACACACUCAUCCGUGGGACUUGCCUGACAAGUUAGGUUCUGUCCAUCAGCUGCAACUUAUGCAGGAAGAGUCGUUCUUUUGUUGUAUACGGAUUACGGAACCAGGCAUGCUUUCAAUACAUCGCGGAGCCAUGAUGAUUGAUGGUUCAACAUUCACAUUUUGUUUUUAGAUUAGAUACACACACAUCUAACUUGACAACAUGACCAGUUAUUCGUUUUAUGUACACUUUUUCCACCCUAUAUGCUGAUUUAUUAAGAAGGGAUGGUGGGAAUCCUUUAACUGAUUGUGUUCAGCAACGCGAACUAAGCCUGUAAAAACGUGUCUUCUCUUGGGGAUGUAAGUUAUUGUUGUCAUGUUUUACAUACAUUUAAUGUCUAACAAGAUUUACCUGGAAUUUAGUUGGGUAAAGGGAUCCUCUGAAUCCCUUCCACCUGAGACACUGAGCACGAAAUCCGGGCUCGAAAUUUGAUCCAACGUCCUAAAACAGAAGGUCCCAUUAAAAGUUAUAAUAAAUUUAGCCGUUAAAUCAAAUUUUAAGAGUCCGGUUUUUUUGCUCAGUUGGCUUAGGUGGAAGGGAUACGGAAAGGAUCCCUUUCCUUUAGUUGCAUCUCUUUGAUUUGGCCACACUCGAUGUUUGUGUCAUGUAUAUGAUCUCCGUGUUGGAUAAAUAUCAACAAUCAAUAAUAAAUUAUAUAUGCUAAUAAAUAAUAAAUGCGAAUAGAUAAAUUAACAGAGUAUGAACAAAACAAAAAUAUUAAACAGACAACUUGAAGAUCGAGGCUUGCGUACCACAAUGUCCUUGAAAAAAAAAUUUCGUCCCUUCUCAGUGCUUGUAGUUCUACAGACGUCGACUUCACCAGGAUUCAACGAUCUAAGUCAAAAUUCCAGCACCGGAAAACUUGACUUCUGGCGAAUUUCUUUGUGGUUCUCUCAGUAAGGAUGUUUGGGAUUGUAGAAGAAGAAUUUGAUUUUUUUUGUGUUCAAAAUGUCAUGCAGAUGAAUGUAUAUAUAGUAGGUUUAUACAUGUUCGCAAUAGGUAUGAGAAUGGGGUGCGUCUGUUGGAAGAUAUCUUUCCCAAAUGUGUGCUUUGCUCAGCAUUCUUUCAUCACUUUCAAAUGAAGUUUGUUGAUAAAAAAAAUUAAUUAAUUAAAGAAUUUAAUUUUUAGAGCCCCAAGGCUCAAGACCCAUCUUUUGAUUAUAUAUAUUAAUUAGUACACCACAAAGUCUAACUCCAAGGUUGAUCCCAAUUUCAUUAUCCAUGGUUCAUCACUUCAAUCACUAUCUAUAAAGAACAAAGCCUUAUAAAGUGAGAGAACCUUUUGGUAGUGACCAAUGUGGGACAAUGAAAUUUCUUCUCAAAAUUUCCAACACUCCGAUCUGCCAGACGCUGCUUUUUCUAGAAAUUUGGUUGGUUAGCUAGUUAAGAGAAGGUGAACUGAGACUCUAAGUUGCACUUGCACAUAUUUUUCCUUAUGUCCCGCAACUUUAAAAUAUUUAUUUUCCGGUACAACGGCGGAGAGGCUAACAACAGGAACAAACAACUACCCGGGAAUGGCCCUGGUCUUUGCCAAACGCACAAUUUACUGAAAGAUGAGUAUGAACUCCUACUCAAAAUUCUUAGUGUUUAAUCGCGAAGCUUUGUGUUUAUGAUCAGAAUCGUUGAUACUAUGAAUCACAUUGUAAAGAUUAUCUCUGCAAAUAUUAAAUUAAAAAUAAGACCGUUUAGUCAAUGUAUUGUAGCAGAUACAUAAACGGUUCAUAAUACUUUUACCACUACCGUUCAUUUGUUUUUAAAUAGUUUGAUGACCAAAUGACCUUAGUUUUAAUUGAUUUUUUGCAAAUGCGAUCUUUAUAUGAUGAUUUAUAAUAUGAACAGUUCUAAUUAUAAACACGAAGUUCCAUAAAUUGACAACAAACAAUUUUGAAAAAUUUUGAGUAGGAGUCCCUAGUCAACUUUAACAAAGUAUUGUUCUUGCCAAACUCAAGGUAUCAAAGCCACCACCACAACAACAACAACAACAACAAAGCAUUUUCCCACUAAGUGGGGUCGGCUAUAUGAAUCCUAGAAUGUCAUUGCGCUCGGUUUUGUGUCAUGUCCUCCGUUAGAUCCAAGUACUCAAGUCUUUUCUUAGGGUCUCUUCCAAAGUUUUCCUAGGUCUUCCUCUACCCCUUCGGCCCUGAACCUCUGUCCCGUAGUCACAUUUUCGAACCGGAGCGUCAGUAGGCCUUCUUUGCACAUGUCCAAACCACCGGAACCGAUUUUCUCUCAUAUUUCCUUCAAUUUUGGCUACUCCUACUUUACCUCGGAUAUCUCAUUCCCAAUCUUAUCUUUCUUUAUCGUGUGCCCAUACAUCCCACGAACGAAGCAUCCUCAUCUCCGCUACACCCAUUUUGUGUACGUGUUGAUGCUUCACCGCCCAACAUUAUGUGCCAUACAACAUCGCUGGCCUUAUUGCCGUCCUAUAAAAUUUUCCCUUGAACUUCAGUGGCCUACGAUGGUCACACAACACGCCGGAUGCACUCUUACACUUCAUCCAUCCAGCUUGUAUUCUAUGGUUGAGAUCUCCAUCUAAUUCUCGUUCGUUCUCUUGCAAGAUAGAUCCUAGGUAGCGAAAACGGUCACUUUUUGUGAUCUUCGCUAGAUUGCUCCGGUCAUUAGUGUGGAUAAGUAUAUAAAUAGAGAUAGAGGAAAGCAAACACAAGAUGUACGUGGUUCACCCAGAUUGGCUACGUCCACGGAAUAGAGAAGAGUUCUCAUUAAUUGUGAAGGGGAGUACAUAGGUUCAAGCUCUCCUUUAGUGAGUACAAGUGAAUGAUUUAGUACAAAUGACAUUAGAAAAUAUUGUGGGAUAAUGAUCUCGUAACCACGAAACUUCUAAGUACCGGAGUGUGGUAUCGUCUUGACUUGCCUUAUCUGUCUCAUAGGUAGAUGUGGCAUCUUCUCUGGAAGUACUCUUCCUCCAUCCAGGGGUGGUAUCUGUAACUGGUGGAGAUGCACAAGGUAAUGUAUCAAUUUCACUUGAAGCUUACUUGUAGUUUCAGGCUUGGUCAAGCGCGAUACAAACCAUGUAGUAGGAGUCCCCCAAGUCGCCGGGCUAGGGGAUCUGCUGAAAGAGGUGAUAGACAAGGUAAGCAAUCAGAGCUCCGGCUGAUUGUUCACAUUCUCCCUAUCUUGCAGGCAGCAUGAAGGAUAAAGAGAAGAAAAAUGAGAAGAGAUGAUAUGGGAUACUUUUGCUUUUGAAGAAGUAACUUUCCACAGGCUUAUUCUUGAACCGGGCUGGGAGGGUUUUCUGGUUUCCUCCAGAGUAAAAGGCCGACUGAAGAAUUUGAGGGUCAAAACAAGUCCAUCAAAUCUAGAGUACGUUUGACCCUGCUGAUAUGGGAUACUUUUUCUUUUGACAGAGUAGUGGAUGUAUCGGCACGUGUGCUGUUACGCUUGUCUCCACAUGCUUCCUUGUAUCCUUCUCACUUGCCCUAUCUGUUCCUCAAGGCAGAUGCGGGUAUCUUCCCUGGAAGCAUAAGAUGUUGAAGAUGAGUACUCGAGAGCAAUGCCAGGUAAGUAAUCAGGUAAGGGGUUCCAGGCAGUCAGUUCCUGGCUGGAAGCUUGAUUCCAAGUGCUGACUGAUUGCUCUCUUUCUCCUUGUCUUGCAGGUUAAGCUGACAGGGAAAAAGCAUGAUAUGGGAUAUACUCUUGCUUUUAACCCUGAUGAUAUGAGAUAUUCUUUGCUCUAGUAUAGCUUGUUUACAGAGGUAUUAUCGGGGGGAAAGAAAGCUGAAUAUUUCGAAAGGCUUCGUUGGGAGUGCCCUCUCAGAUAAGAGAAAGGGUUGAGCAUUUUUGCAGGUCUGCCUGUCCGUUAGGGAUGGAGGUCGACAUAUAUAGGAGUCUCCCUAACAUCAAGUAAUAAUGUUAUUCCUUUACCCUACUUGGUCAUAGCACGGUAGUGGGAGCUGCCAGCUUUACAUGUUUUAACUCUGUCAGAGCACUUUGAAAAAGUGGUCUGUGGUAUCUGGAAAGCUGAUGUUGCGUGUGAAGAUUACAGACAAGCUUUUAUCCAAGGAGAUCCAGCUCUUGAAGUUGGGAAAGUGGUGCCUCUUCGGUUUUCGAACAAGCAAUCAUGUCGGGGAUCUGGCUCUCGAGAUUCGGAGAACGAUGCCUCUUCGAUUUUUGAGAAAACAAUCUUGCUGGGGGUCUGGCUCUCGAGAUUCGGAGAGCAGUGUCUCUUCGAUUUUUGAGAAAGUAAUCAUGUUGGGAGUCUGGCUCUCGAGAUUCGGAGGGCGGUGCCUCUUCGAUUUUGGAGCAAGCAAUCUUGUUGGGAGUGUUUUCUCGAAUGUGAGUAAAGGUUGGGCAUGUUUGCUAGUCUACCUUGCCACGAAGCACAGAGGUUGACACACAGGGACUUUCCAAUUAUCCAGCAAGUGGUACUGUUCCUUUACCCUCUCUUCGAUUUUUGAGAAAGUAAGUCAUGUUGGGAGUCUGGCUCUCGAGAUUCGGAGGGACGGUGCCUCUUCGAUUUUGGAGCAAGCAAUCUUGUUGGGAGUGUUUUCUCGAAUGUGAGUAAAGGUUGGGCAUGUUUGCUAGUCUACCUUGCCACGAAGCACAGAGGUUGACACACAGGGACUUUCCAAUUAUCCAGCAGUGGUACUGUUCCUUUACCCUUGUGGGUAAUAAUAUGGUAGCUAGACCUUCAAAAUUUAUGUGUCUAAACUUUGUUAGUGCUGUUUCUUUGCUAUUCUUUUACCCUUCUUGGUCAGAGCGAUGUAGUGCGGAGCUGCAAGCUUCACGUGUCUCAACUUUGGCAGAGAACUUUGGCAAAGUUAUCUGUGUGGUACCCAUGAGUUAUUGUUGCGUGUGGGAAGUGGGUGAUUGAACAGUACGAUUCAUGUGCUUUCUACUUCGCCAGAAAUCUUCGACAGAAUGCCCAUAAUUUCCGCAAAGCUGAGUGUGCGUGUGACAGGUGCUGACAAGGCUGGAAAAGUAGGUGCCUCUUCGAUUUCUGAGAUCGGCCCUCGUGGUUUCUUAGCAGCCCAGCUUUUGAGAAAGCAAGCCUCUUCGAUUUCUGAGAUCGGCCUUCGUGGUCUUUGAGCAGCCCAGCUUUUGAGAAAGCAAACGCCUCUUCGGUUUCUGAGAUCGACCCUCGUGGUCUCUGAGCAGCCUUGCUUUUGAGAAAGCAAACGCCUCUUCGAUUUCUGAGCAGGCGCCUCUUCGAUUUCUGAAGCUUCGUCGAGUGCAGAUUUUUAUAAGGGCUGACAUUAAGUUCCAAAGCACACUUGAAUAUCCACCAGUAAAAGCUCCAUUCUUGCACUUCUAAGAUCUUGAUUUGUCCGACCUCUUCUCUCUUCAACACCUUUGAAAAUGUCUGGCCCCUCCGACCGUCGUUUUGACUUGAACCUUGUUGAAGAGGCAGCCCCGCCUUCUCCAGACAACAUAUGGCGCCCAUCCUUCGUCUCCCCUACUGGUCCUCGUACCGUUGGGGAUUCCGUGAUGAAGAAUGAUAUGACCGCUGCGGUAGUGGCCAGGAACCUUCUCACUCCCAAAGAUAACAAACUACUUUCCAAACGGUCUGAUGAGUUGGCUGUUAAGGAUUCUCUGGCUCUCAGUGUUCAGUGUACAGGUUCUGUGUCUAAUAUGGCCCAACGCCUAUUUGCUCGAACCCGCCAAGUUGAAUCAUUGGCAGCUGAAGUGAUGAGUCUCAAACAGGAGAUUAGAGGGCUCAAGCAUGAGAAUAAACAGUUGCACCGGCUCGCACAUGACUAUGCUACAAACAUGAAGAGGAAGCUUGACCAGAUGAAGGAAUCUGAUGGUCAGGUUUUACUUGAUCAUCAGAUAUUUGUGGGUUUGUUCCAAAGGCAUUUAUUGCCUUCGUCUUCUGGGGCUGUACCGCGUAAUGAAGCUCCAAAUGAUCAACCUCUGAUGCCUCCUCCUUCUAGGGUUUUGUCCAGUACUGAGGCUCCGAAUGAUCCCCCUCCGGUGCCUUCUCUUUCUGGGGCUCUACCGACUGCUGAGACUUCUCCUAAGCAACCUUUGUGAAUGCUCCUUCUUGUUUAUUUAUUUUGACUCAAGUAUAUGUACAUAUUUGUAACUUAUCGGGGAUAUCAAUAAAUAAGCUUUCCUUCAUUUCAACGUAUUGUGUUAAAUACACCAAAGCCUUCUUCGCUAAGUUCUUUGAAUUUUCUUUUGUUGAAGCUUGUAUGUUGAAGCUUUGUGAGUGGAGCAUGUAGGUUGAGGUAGUGUUCCCUUAAUUUUCCGAGUGAGGAAAACUUCUCGGUUGGAGAAGGUAUCAGAGCCACCAGCGAGUUUAUAAUCUAGUCGACAAUAUAUGAGCUCAACAUGCAGGUGGAUCUCUCAAUAAACAGUGACGGAGUUACACAAUGCGCUCAUGCAACACUAGGUUUUUGGCAAAAAAACCGGCGGCUAUCCGUUCAGAGAGAGUCAUACCUAUUAAUCCCGUGUCUGAAUAGCAAGAACCAAAAUGGUAAUGCAGGCACACAAAAAGAACGAAAAACAAACUCAUUUCCGAACCAAAACUAACAGCAUAACAGCUCUUUUUCUACAUGGUUAAAAAGAGUAAGACGCGUUUGAGGUUUAACAGAACAAACCCAGUUUUUCUUCCUUCAGGAGAUGACACAACUUAGCUUCUAGAUGUAACCAUAAGGACACACACUGCAUAAGUUCCUUCACCUCGUCUAAAACCGAGAUCGCAGGACUCGUUCAAAAUGAAGAAAGACUGUAAGGUAAAUUCAAACCGAGAAUUAUAAUCUAGUCAAAGCUCACAACCCCACAAACUAUGAACAUAUCACAUAAAAGUAAAGCAGAGCUUGAGAAAAACGGGCAUAACAAGACCAAGCUUCUUAGUUUGCACGACUUUUGAUAACAUCGAGACCUAUCUCAGAUGGAUCAGUGGCCUGCAGCUCGACUUGUAUGCCGUCCAAUUCUCUCUUGAACCUGUCCUUGGAGCUUGCAUAAAUCAUCUUGUUUCUCACCCUUGCUGUGUCGGGAGACCUAUGAAUAUGGUAAAGAACAUAAGCAAAAAUGACGGGAAAAAAAAGAGACGCGUUUUUGGGUUAUAAUAGUACCAUCCGACGAAGAAAAUCCUGCUUUUCUGACAGUUCUCUACAGUCACAAAGUCAAAAUCAUAGACAGCAUAUCUGCAUUCAUUAUCAGGAAGGUUUGCAGUAAAGUCUUCAUAGCUUUCAGCUGGCUCACCGAGUUUCUCCACAAUCACCUCAUUUUUCUUCUCGUCAAUCUUGAACACUAUGAAGCGAUAUGUUCUCUUAGCCUUCAAUUCCAGAAACUUCAGCUUGCAGUCAUCAUUCACAGCAAAUCCGGAUGCUGCAUUAGCCUGAUCAUAUGAUGAAACAGAAGAUAGAUGUUAUUCUUAUGCAACUUAUUUCCACAAACCCAACACACACUGGUUUUGAAACAAUAAACAUGUAUUCACUCUCCUACUCAGCCAAAAAAAUUAAGCUCAGAAAUUCUCAAGAAAACAAUUAAUCUGCAAUGUUGUGCCAAAGUAAUCAAACAACGGAAUCAGAUAUUAAAAUGCCACGGUGCCUCUCCUUGAAUGUAAGGGCCCGUUUAAUAACCAAUUUUAAUUCUAUAGAUAGAGAAGUAUGAGGGAGAAAGGAGGAGCAAGGGUGAACAAGGGAUAGUGGAACAAAUGUGUAAUGGCACACAAUGGAAACUGAAAACAAUUUUGAAGUUGUUUUCGCUUUCUAGUUUUGUUUUCAUAUAAUCUCCUUCAUUUCUCCCCCUCCCAUCACCCCUCCCACCACCUCCCUUCAUCCUUUACAUUCCUUAUUUCUCCCGUAUACUCUCCCUCUACUUUAGCACAAAAAAUGACAACUAAGAACUAAAAACGAAAUGGUUAUCAAACGGGCAACAAAGGCUGCAAUUUUUCUGGUCACAAAAGGAAGACAACUUAGAUGCAAUGAUCAUUAUAAAACAUCCGAUGGAGAUCCCAAGAGACUAUUCUAGAUACUUAUUUCAUUUCCGAUCCUUGAGGUUUGGUCAGGCAAUUAAAAUAGGCAGACUGAUUUUGAAAAGAAUUUCAAAGUCUGAAACCUCCUUCCCUCCCAUCCUUCCUUCUCUUUUUUCUCUCCCUCUUUCUCUCCGAUUGUAGACGUUCUGUCUCACCCAAUUUCUUAAAGAGUAGUGCGUAAUGAUACAGGAUUCAACUUGAAUCUUUCAAUUUAAGCAUGUACCAUGCAGGUUGGGCUAUAGAUUAGAUAUCUAAACUAAACAGGAAUGGACCAGCAAUCUGAAACCGAGAAACCAAGAAUGUGCCAGUUUUAGCAUAACAAAUGGCCAAAAAAGGAAUAAGACUACUUGAGGUACAUUUCUUCUUUAGUUUAGCUUCAACCGUAGACCACAGUCUCCUCUGUGAUGCGUCCAAGUUACACACUGUCAAAUCCCAAUUCCAUACACUAUGCACUAGUGCUAUACUUGCAAGAAUAAGAUCAAAUACAAUUCAGCAUCGCAACAUCCGUACGGAAUCAAAUUGGACCCCCGCAAUUAGUUCUGAUCAGUGAUCAGCUGGUUGACACUAUUCCAAUACCGAGCACUUGAAUCCCAACUCUCGAUCAAUUAACAGCUUUCUAAUCAGAUUUAAAUCUCAAUGCAUCUAAAUAUUGACACCCACAUCAACUGUUAGACUAAUGGAAUCGGUACAACGCAACUAUGUUCAAAUUUCACAAUCAACAUGACAGCAUUGCCAGUUUGCCACCAACACCAACACAAUCAGAUUACCAAAAUAUCAAACACAAAACAACACACAAACCCACCACAAAGAACCAAAAAUAAAAAAUAAUCAAAACUCAACAAACGAAGAAUAUAUAUGAAUGUGAUCAAAAUUAUUUUAUGAACCAAAAAUCAAAAGAAAAUUUUAAAACUUUAAGCAAAUAUCUUCAGCUACUGCAAAAUUAAAAUGAUACAAAAACCCAAAUUCAGAUCCACAACAAAUUACAAUCGAUUGAAACAAGUGCAUCUAAAACCCAUCACAGAUGAUAACCCAGAGAUCAAAGAUCAUAACCCAAAACACAUUAAAAAUUAAAAAAAAAAUAAAAAUAAAAACAAAAGCAAUGGGCAGGGAAAGGGAAGCAGGAGAGAGAUGCUGACCAUUGCUGUUGCAGACAAUGAGCUGAGUUGCUUCGACUAUGGCAGACAAUGGAGGACUGAGUGCUCUUCCGGUGUUUUGUGUGUGCUUCGGAGCUGGAGAGCUUCUGCUACGGAGACGGUGGUGGCUGAGGCUUCUCUUUCAUCCGCCUCCCACUUCUCUCUAAAUAGUAAAUAUCAUCAUGGAGGGCAUGCCAUGCGUGACAACGGGGAAAAGAAAAAGUAGGUCUGUCCCUAUCGUGGCUUGACGCGUGUGAGGGAGGUUGCGAAAAGACUGAUAGGCCCUUGGUUUAUGUGGCGUUUCUUCCCACUCGCCCAUCCAGUUGGCAAUUGGAGGGGCUUUUUUAUUGCCGUACUGAAAUGGAAGUUUAUUGAAUCUGUAAUGUUAAGAAGAUUAAAAUUUUAAAUUAAAUUGUAAUGUAAUUAUUGAUGAUUAGAUUAUUAAUUAAGUAUUAGUUAAUAUAGUUAUUAUUUUAUUGGUGACAUCUAAUUUGAUUUGCAAAUUUAGUUUAGAAAUUUGAUCUCUCUAGCAUUAUCCUAAUUGAAUAAAUGAGACCGUAGAAAAGUAUAAAAAUAAUUAAUAAUGUUUUUUUAGUACCUUAGAGAGAAAAGAAAAAAUAAAAUAAAAGAUGUAUUUGUUGCGCCGAACUAUCUUAGAUUGGGUUUGUUUUAGGGACUAAGUUAUAUUAGCUUGACUUGGACUAAGUAAGAUAAAAAUAAUGAACCAUUCGGUGCAAUGUCGUACUAGCUGAGGACAUCUCCAAAGGAGAUGUCAAAAUGUCCAAAUCAGCAAUAACGGUAACAAAUAGAGCAUUAAUGUUUUUCAAUCGAGAAGCCAAAUAUGAUAUGGCAUGACAUGGAUUGAUAUAUCUCCCCCUUGCUGCCAAAUUUAACAGCACCUUCAAAUUUUUUUAAUUAAUUAUUAAAUGCUUUUUAUUCAUUUUUUUUAUUGGUUUAAAUCAUUAUCCUUUUGUUUCUUUCCAUUCCCAAUGCAAAGAAAAUACAUAUAAAUUAUUAUUUUAUGUUUAAAAUUUGACUUAUCAAUUGGAGAUCAAAAGUUUAAAAGAUGUCAAAGUGUCACGUAAGCCUUCAAAUUUAAAUUUUAGGUUUAAAAUUUGACAUCUCCUUUGGUAAAAUAUCCAAAAUAGACGUACCAUUUCUUAAUAGUUUUUCUUUAAAAAAAAAAAAAACUAAAAACAAAAAGCCUCGCAUCCGACGUUUCACUCUCUCUCCCCUCAAAAAUGGUCAUUUUCAAAUGCCAAUUUUGUUAGAGCAACUCCACCAUUGCAAAGGCCCCUAGGACUAUUCAUUAUUUAAUCCAUCAAGUAAACAGUAACUGCCUUAAUCAACAGUAACCGUCUUUUGCAUCUCUACCCCUACACUGAAUAGCCAUCACAAUAUGCAAUAAAAUAAUACAAAAUAAUUUUAUUUGUAAUUUCGAAUAAAAAUUUUAAUCGUUCUCGUUGUGCCACGUGUCAUUAUCCAAAAAGACAAUUAUUGGUGAUGAAUUUUGAUAAGAUUUGUAUCCAAUGUCAUCGUGCCACGUGCCGUUACCUUUUUAAAAUCGUUGAGGAUAGAUUUCCGAUAAGAUUUUUAACCAAAUAUGUCGCGCCACGUAUCACAAUCUGUUUACGAUCUUUGAGAAUAGAUUUCGAUCAGAUUUUUAACGAAUGAUGGCAUGCCACGUGACAUUAUCUACAACCUAAUUCUUUCUAAAUCCUCCAUAUAAUCCACCAUCAAUCCUUAGAAAUCUCACACCAAUUUUCUCAAGAUCUCUAUCAUUAUUCAUAGUUUCUGCUUCAUUCUUCACCAAAAUGUUUGAUUUAGAGUCACUUCGAUCCAUCAUGAUGACGUGCAUCAUUCUCCACAACAUGAUUGUGGAAGAUGAGUAUGAUUAUGAUGCCAUUGAUGAAUAUGAGCCAGACACGAUGAACAAUUCCAGAACACAAAUAUAUUGUGCUCAUGACGUUACCGAAUAACCCAUGCAGCAUGAGCCAUUAGAAAGGGAUGGACGUUACAAUUAAAUGCUCAUUCAACGAUAUACUGUACUUCAAAGGCCAUAUAUGCACAAUGCCCGACAAAUUGACUUGAUAGAGCACCAGUGGAAAUUGAAAUAAGUUCAAGAUACUUAAGUUCAUUUAGUGUGUUUGUUUUUAUUUGGUGUGUUUUUUAAGUUCAUUUAGUGAGUUUUUAAUUAUUUAGUAUGUUUAUGUAAUUUUAUUUGGUGUGUUUAUGUCCUUUGAAUAAAGAUUGUCUUAGUUUAAAUAAAUUACCAAAUUAAAUAAAUAUACUCUUAGUUUAAAUAAAGUACUAUAUUAAAUAAAUAAGAAAUUACAAUCCAAAGUGAUUGGAAAAUUAUGGGCUCUGAUUACAAACAAAGUGAUGGGAAAAUUAUGGGCUCGUGAAUGGAAAAUCAUCACCUAACCAAUUUGUGGUGCUAGGAUCAUCUUCUCAUGUGGUGCUAUGACCAUCUCCUCUUGCUCUUGCUUCUCUUGCACGCCUCCUUUGCACCAAGUCUGCUUUCUCUGAAUUCCAAAAAUAUUUAGAAUUCGGAGACUUCCCUUCUAAAGGUGUGUUCAUAAUGUCACAAUCUCAUUGAGCCCUUAUUCUCUAAUCUCUUCCCUGUCUUGCCUAAGUAGCUCUCUUUCUCUCUCAUUAGCUUGAAAUUCUCUCACAGCAGCUGUAGCUUUUGCCUCCUCUCUAGCCUUAUUAGCCUUAAAUUUAGCCAUUUCUCGCGCCAAAGUCAAUUCACCUUGGCGAGCAAGUUCUUCCAUAUACUUUGCAUAAUCAUUCUUGGAAGCACUCCCUUUUCUCUUUGAAGCCUUCGUACCUUGAGGCCUAAUUGGAUAACGGGUCGACCCCGACGCUUGUUCAGGGAGAGUUUCCGACAUUUGUUCUGGGUCAUCUUUAUGAACAUGCAAGGCAUGAUCGGGCGUAGAAUGUAGAGGGGUGUUAUUCAUGACAACUUCUGGACCAAUAGGCACAAUUCUGAAUUGAGGACAAUCUUUGACAAUAUUCCAACAUUCCCACCGGGUGAUGAUUGCUUUUGGUUUUUGGAUUUGGCAUUAUACCAAGAUUGUGCUAGAAGUGUCUACACAAUGCGGGAGAAUAAAUAAUUAUAAUCAAAGUAGGUAAUAUAAAUAUGGGUAUAGUACAAACAAAUAAAUAAUAUAUUGUUACUUGAUCCGCUAAAUUUUCCCCACUUCGAAGAUUAUAACUAGCUUGUGCCACGUCAUCUCUCCACAUACUAAACGAUUGGCUAAGUAUUCUCUAACGACUGGACAUCGAUUCUUUGGUUCUUUUCCCAUCAAUUUUCUCAAAAUAAUUGGCAUGAAUAAGACUCCACAUUUCUCGUAACUGCAUCUCAUUACCCGUAAUCGGAUCAUUAGUAACUUCAACCCAGCUAGUACACAACGUAACAUCUUCAAUAAGUGUCCAAUUUGUACCUGCAUCAUUAGUCAUUUUGUUGGAAAAAAAAAUUGGAUUUAAACUUUGAGAGAAAGAUAGGAAUGUGGUUGAAACUAGUUGACAAAAUAUGAAAUUGUGGUGUAAGGUAGAAGAUAAUCAGAAUGUAUUUAUAUAAAAGUAAAAUUGUUUUUUUUAAUUUUUCAAUUUUUUUUCGGAUUUUUAUUAAUUUUUUAUUCACAUAAGUAAUCUCUACCAUUGGAUUAAAAAAAAUUUUGAAUUCCAAUUCUCUAGAUUGUGCCACGUGGCACAACGGUAAGAUUUUAGAAUUUAAAACUGUUUUUUCUUUUUUUUUUAAUUUAUAAAGCCGAAUAACGUGGACCGUUGAUUUCAAAUCCAAUGGCUGAAAUUAAAUAAGGUUUUAAUUUUUUUUUUACCGUUGGAAAUCCAACGAUCCAUAAAAUGUUGCCAUUGAAAUCCAACGGACGUGGGGAAGUCACAUGGCCUCCCCAACAGUAACAUUUCAGAAAAACGUCGUGGGCCCCAUGUCUAAAACAGUGUUGGACGACGUGCGCCCAUGCGCAUGCUCUUAGCGCAAAAAAGAGAGAAAACGUGGCUGACGUCAGCCUUGCAUCAUACCCACUUUGGUAAUUGCAGGACAUAAGAGUACAAGAUUUGGUAAUUGGGUUUCCACUUAGUCUCAUUAAUACCUAAAAACAAUCAUUUAACAUAAAAAGAUCAAUUGCGACAUUCGUAUGCGUGUAACAAGAGACUAGUAUAUAUUAAAAGAAAUAUCUUAUGAAAUAUAGAUUGUAAUUUCAUAUUAUAGUAUAUAAAAAGAAUUGUUAUUGGCACUCCAAAUUUUUUAUAUUUAGAAAGAAAAAAAAAUACUCUUAUAAAGAGUAUAAAAUAAGAUAUUUGAAGUGCAAAUAAGAGUUCGUAAAUAAUUUAGUAAUAAUUUGAAGUGCAAAUAUAAAAAAUUUGGAGUGCCAAUAACAAUUUUUUUUAUAUACUCUAAUAUGAAAUUACAAUCUACGUUUCAUAAGAUAUUUCUUUUAAUAUAUACUAGUCUCUUGUUACACGCAUAUCGCAAUUGAUCUUUUUAUGUUAAAUGAUUGUUUUUAGGUUUUAAAUUUAAUUAUUUUUUGUAAUAAAAAAUAUUCCAAAAAAAAAAAAAAAACAGAAGACUACUACGUGGGUUUUCUUUUCAUUUUUUUAAUGUAUAACCUUCAUCUCAAAAUUCAAACUGUCUUGAUUACUAUUUUGUCCCUUAUUAAUUAAGUUGUUUUUUUUUUCAAAAACUUUAAUAAAGGAGGGGCAUUUUGAACGUUUAACCCUUUCAUCCUUCUCACUUUAUAUACAGAGAUUCUUCAAAAUACACCCCAAAUCAUCCUAAUGUUCUUACUUAUUUUCUCGAUCUUCACUUUUACCCUUCAUUAUUGAGCAAAACUGAAAUCACUAAAAGCAAAAACACUUCGAAUAAAAAUAUGUUAACUUGACGAUGAAACAUAAAAUCUGCGUUUUUAGCUCGCCGUUCAUUUUACUAUUAUUCGAAAAAGCACUACUAUGGGUUGUUUAUCAAAGAGAUAAACUUUGAAACAAUUGGAAAGGAAUUUGAAUUCCAGAUACCUAAGUUCAUGUAAUGGUCAUCCAGAAAUCAGAUGAACUACCAAGUUUCUUAUGAUGAAGAAAAUAUACAAAUAAGUACUCUUGAGUUUUCAUAAUUCAAAAAAUAGAUGUGGGGUGUAUUCAAAUAAACUUUAAUUUAAAAAAUAGAUGUAGGUUGUAUUAGGUAUGUGAGGUGUAGCCACCAAAAUAUGGGGUGUGAAUAAAAUAGCUCAAAAAAGGUCACUUAGUACUACGUUUUAGUGAUAUUUCUUUUCAAUUGUAAGUGAAAUGUUUUAUGUUUGAUUCUCGUCAAAGACGAAUUUGAACCUCAUUAUUGCUAGCCUAUUGUGUGACUUAGCCCACUCCUCCAUUUCAUCCCUAAUGUAGAUAAUAUCAUUUUUUCAAAAAAAUAAAAAUAAAAAUCUAUUGCAGGUGGACACUUUAGUGGGUCAACCAAUGAUCGGAAUCCAAUUCUUCAUUAAUCGGAAUCUAGUUCUUGAUUUCCUAGUGUUUAUUAAACAUAUAAUUAUUCACUAAUCGGAAUUCAAUUCUUUAUUUUGAUUCCAAUUAACGGUAGGUAAACAGGUCAUUCCUGGCUUUAUGAAGAGUGAUAAAAUCUAAAAGUUUCAUAAUGUUCAUGCAUGCAAGCAUCCUCUAUUUUAGCUUUUCUUCGAACAAUUUAUUUUCAAAUACACCUUCUUCUGGCGUGCGGAAGGGGAAUGGAAUGAGAGAAAUGAAAAUUGCACCCAUUCUAAGUCAUUCAGUAGCGUGUUUACGUAUCUGUGAUGGGAAUAAAUAUAGGGAAUUGGAUUUCGAUUAUGAAGAAUUCAAAUGUUUACAAAUUUUGAAAGAAUCAAGAGAGUGAUAGAGUUCACACAAAAUAAGGAAUUCAAUUCCUAAAAGUGGAGGAAUUGAACUCCCUAUAUUGAUGAGGUAUUUGAAUUCCAUGAGGGUGAGGGAAUCGGAAAUGCAAGCCUUCUUCCUAUUAUGCCCUCUUAUUAUUUUUAAAAUUUCAAUCUGCAAGCCAUUUCCUUCUAUUUUUCUUCGUUUUUUUUCUUGAUACAAACCAAAGGGCUAGCUGUUUGAUAUAUCAUAUACGCACACAAUAUAUGUAAACAAGAAGAGUGCUGAGGAGGUGGAUGAGGGCAUGUUAAAACAACUAAUUAAAAUGUUAUUAAAAAAACAUAGAUGAAAUAAAACAAAAAAGAACAAGGGCAUUUUAUUAUCAUAUUGAUUUCUAUUCCGAUUUAGGUGAAUUUGUAAACAACUUAUAUGAACUCAGUUUUAUUCCUACUCCGAUUUCAGAAUAUUUAAGUAAACAACUUUAACAAGAAUCUAAUUCUAACUCAUCUUCAAUUCAAUUCCUCCUUAAUUUAAUUCAUCUGAUUUUGAUUAUGGUUAUGUAAAUGAGCCACAAGUAUUUGCAUUUACCAAUACUUGGAGAAUGAAAAUACAUAUAGACCCACCUAAAAUGGAGAAUCAUACUCCUUAAACUUCUAGAAUUGGAUUCUUGAGAUUGGUGUGGUAUUUGAAUUCAGUCUAAUCAUACUUAUCUUCUACUGUCGAACCACUAACACCAAUUUAUACCUAAAAAUUUGUUUAGCAACCUCUAAAACAAAUUUGACAUUCUCCAAAUUUUGAAAUCACCAUAGCUCACCAAAAUUGCAGCGGGAAAUUGAAAAAAAUAAGAAAGCAAAAACCAAAACAAGAACAAAACAAAAACCUUGCUCCCCAUUGGUCAAUCACUUACCACGCGGAUAGCUACCCUGGCGUCCACUACCGUCGAUAAGACCCCCAUCUGACGGUCCCAAUCCUCUAACCAGCUUCUCAAGCCUUCGAUAUCCCCUGGAACAAUAUGAUCCACAAUACAUCCCACUCUAUAAAGCACAUCCUCUUAACUGAUUCCCAAAUCCACUGUCUGAACAUUGGCAAUUCUUUCUCUCCGUUUCCGAUUUGGGUUUUUGAGUCAGAAGGGUGUCUCAGGUUCUCAGUGAAUUUUAGUGCGGUUAGGGUUUGAGAUAUGGAGACUGGUGGUAAGUUGAAGAAAGGUGCCGGAGGAAGGAAGGGCGGCGGUCCGAAGAAGAAGGCGGUGACCCGGUCCGUCAGGGCCGGCCUCCAGUUCCCAGUCGGAAGAAUCGGCCGCUACUUGAAGAAGGGACGGUAUGCGCAAAGAGUCGGGUCUGGAGCUCCGGUUUACUUAGCCGCUGUGCUCGAGUACCUCGCAGCUGAAGUAAGUCUCUUUCUCUAUGACCUCUUUUCUCUCUCUAGAUCCAUAUGUGAGUUUGAUCUUGUUUUGGUAGCUAAGGUUUGAGCUUUGAGUAUCGGGGUUGUGUUUAAUUUUUGUGGUUUAGGGUUUGUGUUAGAUUUCUGCCCGAAAUUUCUGUUUGGUUGCUGAGAAAAUUUCUGAUGUGGGUUUCUUGGUUUUUAUCCAGGUCCUGGAGUUGGCUGGAAAUGCAGCUCGGGACAACAAGAAGAACAGGAUUAUCCCAAGGCAUCUGCUACUGGCCGUGAGGAACGAUGAGGAGCUUGGAAAAUUGCUUGCUGGUGUGACCAUUGCUCACGGCGGUGUGCUUCCAAACAUCAACCCGGUCCUCCUGCCCAAGAAAUCAGAGAAAGCCGCCGGAAAGGAGCCAAAAUCUCCAACCAAGGCAACCAAGUCUCCAAAGAAGGCUUAGGUUCUCUCAGUGAAUCAAUCCCAGCAAAUGUUUAGUCAAAUCCCCACAUGUUUAGAUUUAGUUUGUGACCCCUCCCCAUUUGUAUGUAGUCUGUAUGCAGCAGGUCUUUGUCUUUCGUUUGUUGUAGGAGAAAAGAGAAAUCGAGACUUGAACUUCCAUUGAAUUUGAAAGCAGUUGUAAUCCUUCAAAAUCUUGUGUGAUCUUGUCAUGUUUUAGGAGCUUUGAUUUUCUUGGAAUUCCAUUUAUGAAAUUGAAACCCCUUGUUUCUUUCAUUGCCUCAAGUAGUAGUUUGUUUGAUGAGAUUUGAAGGUUUGGUAAUGAUGCCUUUUGAUGUGAUGUUAUUUGUCAAUUGGUUGCUUUGUGAAUUGUUUGAAGAAAAGGGACCUCUUUUUUGUUUUUAUCAAGCAUAAUCUGCACCCUUUAUCCAAUAUUCCUUUUGCCUUUUAUACCACCUUUCUUUACUGUAAUGACUUGGUAUUAGUUUGGUGUCUACGAUUGGAUUCAAUAACUUA
rnacentral:lncRNA from 1 species